GAAUUUCUAAAAUGAUCGUUGCUUGCGGACCUUAGAAACCAUGUUUUCUCCCCAUACUUGAUCAGUCCUGUCACAAACAUUGGCAUGGUUAGAAUAUUGAGUGGUGUGCCCUUCCAGGACCUCAAAAAGAUGCUCAAUGCCCACAGAGACUUCAGGAAUAGGUGAAUCAAUUGUCUUCUCCAUAAUUCAUUGUCUUCCAAAGAAUAGGCUGUGAUGGUGUCCGGGCCUCCAAGGUUCUGUAGCAGAAAUGGUAGCCAAAAUGCCUUUUGUUGAAUUUUGACUUAGUAUUUGCUGGAAUUUGAAUUUUGAAUAUUGCAGCUGGAGUCUUGCACAAAAUCUGCAACAUCUAGAUAUUUUCUUAUUUUUAUUUGGUCAAGAUUUGGUUUCUAUUUUAUAGGAAGUAGUUAUUCAUCAUCUAGUAGCUUGAUUUUCUGCUAUUCUAAUGUCAUUUAAGUUACAAGUUCAUGUAUUGAUUCAGCACUCUUCAUCAAUAAAAUUAGAGCUCCGGUAGCCCAAAAAUAUAUAUUUUGUAUAAGUAUUUAAUCCAAAUACCAACAAAUUGGUAUCAGAGCCAUAGUUAUCUUGAGGGGCCAGUGAGGUGAGUGAACCCAAACACCUUCUAAAAUCAUUUAGCAAUGGAAGAGUCAAGUCUCACAGUUGCACCAUCAAUUCUUGAUGGAGACAAUUAUGAAACUUGGGCUGUUAGAAUGACAGUUCAUCUACAAGCACUUGAUGUUUGGGAAGCAGUGGAAGAAAAUUAUGAAGUUCCUCCCCUGGGAGCCAAUCCAACUGUGGCUUAAAUGAAGUUGCAUAAAGAAAGAAGGACAAGAAAGGCUAAAGCGAAAGCUUGCUUGUUUGCUGCAGUUUCACCAUCAAUUUUCAUCAAAAUCAUGAAAAUUGAUUCAGCUGCAGAAAUUUGGGAGUAUCUCAAGGAGGAAUACAAAGGAGAUGAAAGAAUCAAGAACAUGCAGGUGAUGAACUUGAUUCGAGAAUUUGAAAUGAAGAAAAUGAGGGAGUCUGAUGCUGUUAAAGACUAUGCUGCACAACUUCUUUCAAUAGCAGACAAAGUUAGGCUGCUUGGAAAAGAAUUUUCCAAUGAGAAGAUUGUUCAAAAGAUAUUGGUUACACUUCCUGAGAAAUAUGAAGCUACAAUUUCCUCUUUGGAGAAUUCAAAAGAUCUGUCAACUAUUAGCUUGACAGAAUUAUUACAUUCCUUGGAGGCUGUGGAACAAAGAAGACUCAUGAGACAAGGAGAUACUGCAGAAGGAGCAUUUCAAGCAAGAAUGCAGAAAAAUGCAGGCCAUAAAAAUGGAAAGGUGAACAACAACAAGUCGUGUGGCAACAACCAGAAAAAUGGAGUUUUUCCACCUUGUCCUCAUUGCAAGAAGACAAAUCAUUCUCCACAAAAAUGUUGGUGGAGACCAGAUGUGAAAUGCAACAAGUGUGGUAAACAAGGACAUGUGGAGAGGAUUUGCAAAAAUCAACAGCAGGAAGAAACUAGUGCAGCAGUUGACUAUUGUCAGGAGGAGCAAUUGUUUGUAGCAACGUGUUUUGCUAAUAAAAGCACCUCUAAAAGCUGGCUUGUGGAUAGUGGUUGUACAAACCACAUGACAAAUAAUCAAGAUCUCUUUAGAGAACUUGAUAGAACAACUAUUUCCAAAGUCAGAAUUGGAAAUGGUGAGUAUAUUCCAGUGAAGGGCAAAGGAACGGUUGCUAUCAAAAGCCAAACAGGUUUGAAACUCAUUUAUGAUGUUUUGUUUGUGCCUGACAUUGACCAAAACUUACUCAGUGUUGGACAGCUCGUUGAGAAAGAAUUUAAAGUUUAUUUUGAAGAUAGGAAUUGCAUUAUCAAGGAUGUUGAAGGCAAAGAGGUGUUCAACAUAAAAAUGAAGGGCAAGAGUUUUGCCUUGAAUUUACUGGAAGAUGAACAUACUGCUAUUUUACAACAAGAUAGCACAACAAUGUUUUGGGACAGAAGGGUCGAGCACUUUCAUCAUGAUGAUGUGCUCUACAUGAAGAAAAAUCAAAUAGUUGAAGGACUUCCUGAAUUAGAAAAAGAUCUUCCUAUAUGUGCUACUUGUCAAUAUGGGAAGCAAACUAAACUUCCCUUUCCAAAGAAAAUAUCCUGGAGAGCAACCCAAAAACUGCAACUGGUGUAUACUGAUGUUGGUGGAUCUCAAAAAAUGCCAUCCUUGAAAUGGAAUGCAAACAAUGUUUGGUGGAUCUCAAAAAAUGUCAUCCUUGAAAUGGAAUGCAAACAGUUUUGGGCUAAAACUGCAAGUAGAGCAGUAUAUUUUCUGAACAUAUUGCCAACAAAAGUGUUAAAGAAGCAGACCCCUUUCGAAGUUUGGUUUGAGUGUCUACGUGCAAGACUUGGAGUUUGCAUCUACGAAGUCAAGGAGGAGUGUUGAAUUUUGACUUAGUAUUUGCUGGAAUUUGAAUUUUGAAUAUUGCAGCUGGAGUCUUGCACAAAAUCUGCAACAUCUAGAUAUUUUCUUAUUUUUAUUUGGUCAAGAUUUGGUUUCUAUUUUAUAGGAAGUAGUUAUUCAUCAUCUAGUAGCUUGAUUUUAUGCUAUUCUAAUGUCAUUUAAGUUACAAGUUCAUGUAUAAAUUCAGCACUCUUCAUCAAUAAAAUUAGAGCUCCGGCAGCCCAAAAAUAUAUAUUUUGUAUAAGUAUUUAAUCCAAAUACCAACACCUUUAUCAUAUCGCUUUGUUGUGAUGAGUUAUCUUGGCACUUGACGAGUACGCCAAUAAAAAUAUCAAUCACCGCGUCUUUGGUUGUGUAAGCUAGGAAAAUGAUGCAUCUAAGCAAUUUUCCGGGUGUAUAUUUUCUCCUGUUGCCCAAGAGGACGAGCUCAAUUUGUGAGAGGAGGCUGACUAAAACAAAUCCACGGAGUAGCCAAUCAUUAAGAAGUCCAAUCACUGUUACGGGCAACAUUUCCUGGACGGUCCUCCUAUUCAUGAUGAUCAUGCAGCUAAUACCUGAAAAUAUAACAAACAAAAAAAAUUAUUGGAUUAAUACAGAAGAUCUGAAUGUCAAUUGAUAAUUAGAAGUGACAGAGUUGAAUGGACGAGGAACAGAAUUCAACAUGCUCAAAACCUAAUGGAUCUUUAUAGCUUUAAAAGUGGGAUAUAUCAUAAUGUGAUCCAUAUACAAUAUAAAUGUUGUCCAUUCUAAACCCAAUGGACCUUACGGUUUUAAACGAGGGAUAUCACAAUGAUUCCCAUAUAAACAUAACAUUGUCAUUGUUCCGUGGUAUUGCAAGGUGGAUGGAAAAAGUUUCACACCAGGGUUGAGGUUAAGGAUCACAUGUAGAGAAGCAUUGCAUUUGGAGGGAAUCACUCCUCUCCAUAUAGAUAUUGUUUGCUCUAGAUGCAAUUCGUGUCUAUAUGAUUAAGAUAAGUUAUACACUACUACAAACUUUUUUCCCUCUAAGAUGGUAUCACACUAUUAAUAAUUGAUUAAGUAAAAAAUUCAAAAUUUUGCAUCCUCUCUUGCUUUUAACACAGUGAUUAGCACAUCUAAGCAAAUUCUUCCGUGAGCACGUUUUUGGAAAUGGGGAGUGAUUUUUUUUUCAGAGGGUGUUUCUGAUUCAAAUAGUAAAACAAAAUGCACUUUUGAUUUCAAAUAAUGAAGGAAACUAAUUAAUUGCUUCGCUACAAACCAGAUUCCGACUUGCUUGCGUAGUAAAUAGACACUGGCUCAACUACAUGACAUUACAACUAAAUAGAAAAAUGGUUUUCUCAGCAACCAAACGGAGCUCAACCCAACACCCAAACUCAUUCAGAAUUCCACAAACUUACAAUGACAAUAACCUCAAACUCAUUAGUAUUCAUAAAGGCCAACAAACAAGGAUCAAACGGUAACAAAUUUGUAUGUAAUUGAGAUUAAAAAUUAAAAACAAUCUAGGCCAAAGAAAGCAUACCCACUUUUCUCCGAGUCUGUGAAUGUGAUGUGAGGGAGAGAGACACCAGGAAGUGUCAUGGGAGGUCAAGAGUGCAAGCAGAAAUAGUGAGUGAAGUCUUCCCUCCGUCAUUUUUUUUGGUGUGGCAUCUGAGUGAAGUAACGUGGAUCUCUCUGUCAUUUAAAAUAGAAAAAGAUGCAAGACAUUUUAUAAACUCUUGCAUUUUACGUUGGUCUGAAGCGAGUUCUGGGUGGCCCGAUGUUUCUCCGAGAUCCACAAAAUCCGAUUGCCUUAUGAAUUUUUAUAUAUUAACAUUAAGAUUUGAGCCGAUUGAAGUCAAAGUGGGAAUCUAUCAAUGUGGUUUGUUUUGAGUUAAUUACAAUAAUCGAUCCUAUAUUUUUAUCUGUUUGAUUCUUCUAGGCAACAAAAAACAAUUUCUUUUCUUAUUAAUUCAAGUGGCAAUCCUAAAUCCAAACAUUAUAUGUGAAAAAACUCAAAUAAUAUUAUCAUCAUAGGGAUGACAAUGGGCAGUUCUUUUGGGUAUCACCUCGCCUUGCUCCUAGUGGGAAAGGUUUGAGAUAAAGAUAAAGGUUUGAAGGAAGAUUCCACUUGUGACUGGGAUUAUGGGAAAUGUCAAGGAAGCUAUCCCUUUCUCUCCGGCUACAAGCUAUCCCUUUCUCUCCGAGAUCCACAAAAUCCGAUUGCCUUAUGAAUUUUUAUAUAUUAACAUUAAGAUUUGAGCCGAUUGAAGUCAAAGUGGGAAUCUAUCAAUGUGGUUUGUUUUGAGUUAAUUACAAUAAUCGAUCCUAUAUUUUUAUCUGUUUGAUUCUUCUAGGCAACAAAAAACAAUUUCUUUUCUUAUUAAUUCAAGUGGCAAUCCUAAAUCCAAACAUUAUAUGUGAAAAAACUCAAAUAAUAUUAUCAUCAUAGGGAUGACAAUGGGCAGUUCUUUUGGGUAUCACCUCGCCUUGCUCCUAGUGGGAAAGGUUUGAGAUAAAGAUAAAGGUUUGAAGGAAGAUUCCACUUGUGACUGGGAUUAUGGGAAAUGUCAAGGAAGCUAUCCCUUUCUCUCCGGCUACAAGAUAAAUUUUACGGCUCCAAUUAUUUUCUCUAGCUACAACCUAAAUUUUGCAGUUCCAAUCCCAAAGAUUUGAGUCUUGUAGAAGCCUCUUUCUCCUCAGCAUUAUGGGAAAAAGAGGAGGCAGAAUGGAGGAUCCAUGGCCAAGGUCAUUCUCUCAUGGGUGGCACAGAAGCUCUCUGUUCUGGUCAUUCAAGAAUCAGGCCCUUUGAAUGGACUUGAAGAAAAGGUCAAUUCCAUCUACUUGGAACUGGGUUCUUCAUUGAGAGAACCGUCAGAAUUAGAGGAGUUCAGGGGCAUUGCCUAUGAUAUAGAGGAUGUCAUUGAUGACCUGACACUGAAAUCAGCAGCAACAAGGAGCACAGGAGUUCACAUGAAGCUGGAGCAGAUCAAGGCUAAGAUCUAUGAUGUCAGUAGAGGACCAGCUUCUUACGCUUGGAUACCAACUCAACCAGUAGAGGAUCAGAACAUAUCCAACACAGUUGUUUCCCCAGUUAUAGAGAAAGUUACAGGUCUUUUUGCUCAGUUGUCAAGCUUCGUCCUCAAGUGAGAAGGAAGGCCAGAAGGUUACAGGAUGAAUUUAGGUUAAUGAAUCAUUGUUAUGAUCUAGAAUCAGAAUGUUUAGAUGAAAGUGGGAUGAUAUGGAUGGAGGAACUCUGCAACAUUUCUAUUUAUGCAGCGGAUGUAAUUGGGUUCUACAGCAACAGGAGGAAACAGUAUAAAAGGAAGGGAACUUUAAGGAGAGUCAUCGCAGCCUUUGACAGAUUGUGGUCUCAGCUUCGUCUAGGCAUGGAGUUGGAUGCAAUCAAUGCUAGGAUUCAGGACAUUCCUGAGAGCUUGUACGUGGACAAAUAAAUUCAAAAGAAAAAUCUAUACUAAUUGAAUAUACAUCAGUAACUUGGAAGAAGUCUAAUAAAAAUCCAUAAGCUAGCGGACAAACACUUGCAGACAUCAAUUUUAUAUCUUUCACAGGAGGAAUCUCUCCCCUUUAAUUUGCCCAAUAUAGAUAUUUUUCCAUUUCAUCCAUACCGAUUAUUUCCUUAAUUUUCUUCCUUAAUUAUUAACACAAUAAGGUAAAGGUUCCCCUUAAAUAAAACAAAGCACAAAUGGGACUAACAAUUCUGGUGAAAGACUCCACCUUCAAAAUGAAACUUAAAGAAAAUGCAACAAUGGUGGAACUCUCACCACCUGAAUUGAAACUUAUUUGCAUGAAAGGAAUGAAAAUCAUUUUUGAGAAAAAAGGAAUUUCCAUGGAAAUGGAGAAAAUCCACCCAACCUCUUUGUCAUCAGCAUUCCUAAUUCACAAUCAGCCUAAUCCUGGCAUACAUGUUCAGUAAUACCAAAAUGAGCCAUGAGAAGCCAGACAUGAGUGAGCAGCUCUCCACCUUGCGUUAGCUCCUUGGCAUGUUCAUUCCGUGGACAGUGACAUGCAGCAUAACAUAGCAUCUCUACCCACACAUGACUCAUCAUCUCCCAUUUCUUUUCAUUGUUCCAUUUUUCUGACUCCAGAGAUUGCAAAGACUUGGCCAGCCUACAGGCAUCGAGUAACACUGACUUGCUUCCAUCUCCUUUCGCUUUCAAUGGUGGAAUUUCAGUGUUCACUUGAAGAAGAAACCUUUUACAAGAUUGGAUAUUUCUAUCUUUUACAGUCUGAAAAAUCUUUGUGGCCUUAGCACAGCUGUCUCUAAAUCGGAUUUGUCCAAUUCCAGGAGGAAGCAUAAGGGGGCGCUUGAGCAGAAGAUACACCAUAUAAUCUGAUAGCAGCUUGCUUGCUUCACGGUUUGAGUUCUUGGCAGGGCUUGAUUUUUUGUUUAGAUCAGUAUCGUAGCAGAGAUCAGUUGCUAGGUGCCAGACUAGAAUGCACUCAUCGAAUUCUCCCUCAAUGCUCCAAUGUAAGGUAGAGAAACAUUUCAUCUCUUCUAGUGUCCGUUUUCCUCUGUCAGCACAUAAUUCCUUGGCUUCCUUAAUGCCUGGGGUAUGCUUUGAUUUCUUCUGAAGCUGUUCAAAGAUCAUUUUUUUCAAAUAUUUGGGGACAUCUGAAUUCUUAGAAGAACACUUCAACAUCUGAGAAAUGCGAAAGAACUUCCUAACCUCACUGAACUUGAUAGGCAAUUUUUUGAAGCUGUAACUUAUUAGAUUGUACCGUGCCAUGGAAUCAGACCAUCUCUUGUUUGCAGGGAAGAGAUAAGGUAGUCGGCAACUAGAUAUGGCUUCACAGAUAAGAGUCACUCGUGUUCUUUCUUGUUUGUUCAACCAAAUCGUGGUCCAGUCAGAGGAACACAGUAGAAUAAUAGAAUAGAUCUCCAGAACAAUUGCUCCAGCCAGCAACAACCAUGUUAUAAUCACGUCAGUAGUUGAGUACUCAUGCUUGUCAAUUAUCAAGAAGCCGAUGAAUGUUGUGUUGGGAAUUGUCCCAAAUUCCUAAUUAGUAAAUAUUCCUUUUUUGUAAAGAACAUUGUAUAGAAUAUUUCUAGGUUGAUAUAUUAUUGUAAUAUUAGACUUCCUUAUUCAAUAAGGAAGGUUGUUGGAAAUAUCUCUAUAAAUAUUCUGGGUCAUGAGGGGAAAAAGUUAUGAGAUGGAGAUGGGCCUGGGCCUAUAGAGACUAUACGAGGUGGAUAGAGAUGUGAGGAAGAACGGGAGGUACCUGGUGGAGCGAGAGGGCUCGUAGUAAGGUAUGGAUACAAGGAGUGGAGAAACAUGGGAUGUUUCGGGAACCCAAUAGUUGUAUCUGGUUUUAUCCUCUGUAAUAUUCUCUAUCGUAUAGUGGAAUUAUUCUCUCUCAUCCGUGGACGUAGACAUGGUUGGCCGAACCACGUUAAAACCUCGUGUACCGUAUGUGUGAUUGUUUUUCUUUGGCGUGUGUUUUCUCUAAUUUUUUUGUUUCUCACGGGUUGGGAAUUCGGUUUAAUUCCCUACAACUGGUAUCAGAGCUUGGGUUGAAGAUUUCUGGAAGAGUAAAAGAUCACAAAGCACACAAGAUGAAAACAAAAGGAAUUUUCACUGAAGGUGGAGUCAAUUGCUCUUUCGUGGUGAUAUGAUACAAAAAGGUUUGUGUCAUGGAGAGAUUGAAGAUUAACUUCAUGUAAUUUGGUCCAAGGUGGAGAUUGUUGGGAAUUGUCCCAAAUUCCUAAUUAGUAAAUAUUCCUUUUUUGUAAAGAACAUUGUAUAAAAUAUUUCUAGGUUGAUAUAUUAUUGUAAUAUUAGACUUCCUUAUAGAAUAAGGAAGGUUGUUGGAAAUAUCUCUAUAAAUAUUCUAGGUCAUGAGGGGAAAAAGUUAUGAGAUGGAGAUGGGCCUAUAGAGACUAUACAAGGUGGAUAGAGAUGUGAGGAAGAACGGGAGGUACCUGGUGGAGCGAGAGGGCUCGUAGUAAGGUAUGGAUACAAGGAGUGGGGAAACAUGGGAUGUUUCGGGAACCCAAUAGUUGUAUCUGGUUCUAUCCUCUGUAAUAUUCUCUAUUGUAUAGUGGAAUUAUUCUCUUUCAUCCGUGGACGUAGGCAUGGUUGGCCGAACCACGUUAAAACCUCGUGUACCGUAUGUGUGAUUGUUUUUAUCUUUGUGUUCUUGAACUAACAUCGUUGGCAUCAAAGCUUCCGCUGGCACAACAUGUUGAGAUUGUUGGAAAUAGACAGAUGAAACGGAGUAGGAGAUCGAAUUUAUCAUAAGCCUUCAUUGGCUUGGUAUAGAAGAUGUCAUACAUGAAUCCAAGCUCAAUCUCAAUCACUUGGAAAGCUUCUGUCCAAGAUAUAUUCUUGAAGUAGGACUUGCUUUGUUCAAGGGCUGUCGGCUCAAGGACGAGAUCUGUAAAUAAACGCUUGAACUUGGGGAAGAAUUUGUUAGCCUUUUGCAAAGGGACUGCAUCUGGGAUACUUUGGUUACUGGGGUCUGGCGAAGGUAUAUAGUCGUCAAUGACCUCUGGGCCUGGAUGACGGAUAAUGGAAUCUCUAAAAUGAUCCAUGCUUCCGGACUUUAGAAACAAAGUUUUCUCCCCAAACUUGAUCAGUCCUGUCACAAACAUUGAAUAGGUUAGAAUAUUGAGUAGUGUGCGCUUCCAGGACCUUAAAAAGAUGCUCAAUGCCCACAGAAACAUCAAGAGUAGAUGAAUGAAGGGUCUUAUCCAUAAUUCAUCAUCUGCCAAAGAAUAGGCUGUGAUGGUGUCCGGGCCUCCAAGGUGGUGUAGCAGAAAUGGUAGCCAAAAUGCCCUUAUCAUAUCGUUUUGUUGUGAUGAGUAAUCGUUUCCAGCUCCCAGGCACUUGAAGAGUACGCCAAUAAAAAUAUCAAACACCAAAUCUUUGGUUGUGUAAGCUAGCCAAAUGGUGAAUCUAAGCAACUUUCCGGGUGUAUAUUUUCUCCUGUUGCCCAGGAGGACGAGCUCAAUUUGUAAGAGGAGGCUGACUAAAACCAAUCCACGGAGUAGCCACUCAUUAAGAAAUCUAACCACAAUUACAGGCAAAAUUUCUUGUACAGUCCUCCUAUUCAUGAUGAUCAUGCAGCCAAUACCUGAAAAUAUAAAAAUAAAUUAUCAGAUUAAUACAGAAGAUCUGAAUGUCAAUUGAUCAUUAGAAAUGACAGAGUGAAUUGAUGAGGAACAGAAUUCAGCAUGCUCAAAACCUAAACCUUUUGACACAUCUCAAUCAUACAAUACUACUAUGCUCUUUUCUUGUAGAUAUUACUUGCUCUUGACCCAAUGGACCUUUAAAGCUUUAAAAGUAGGAUGUAUCCAUAUACAAUAUAGAGAUCACAAUGAUUUCCGUAUAAACACAACAUCCUCAUUGUUCCAUGGGAUUGCAGGGUGGAUAGAAAAAGUUUUACAUUAGGGUCGAGGUUAGGGAUCACAUGUAGAGAAGCAUUGCAUGUGGAGGGAUUCGCUCCUCUCCAUAUAAAUAUUAUUUGCUCUAGAUGCAAUGCAUGUCUAUAAGAUUAAGAGAAGUUGUACACUACUACAAACUUUUUUCCCUCUAAGACGGUAUCACACUAUUAAUAAUUGACUAAGUAAAAAAUUCAAAAUUUUGCAUCCUCUCUUGCUUUCAACACAGUGAUUAGCACAUCUAAGCAAUUUCUUCCAUGAGCACAUUUUUGGAAAUGGGGAGUGAUUUUUGUCAGAGGGUGUUUCUGAUUUCAAAUAGUAAAACAAAAUGCACUUCUAAUUUCAAUUUUCAAAUAAUGAAGGAAACUAAUUACUUCACUACAAACCAGAUUCCGACUUGCUUGCCUAGAAAAUAGACACUGACACAACUGCAUGACAUUACAACUACAUAGAAAAAUGAUUUUCUCAGCAACCAAACGGAGCUCAACCCAACACCCAAACUCAUUCAGAAUCCCACAAACUUACAAAUAACAAUAACCUCAAACUCAUUAGUAUUCAUAUGGGCCAACAAACAAGGAUUAAACCGAAGCAAAUUUGUAUGUAAUCUAAGCCAAAGAAAACAUACCCACUUUUCUCCGAGUCUGUGAAUGUGAUGUGAGGGAGAGAGACACUAAGAAGUGCCAUGGGAGGUCAAGAGUGCAAGCAGAAAUAGUGAGUGAAGUCUUCCCUCCGUCAUUUUUUUUUGGUGUGGCAUCUCAGUGAGACCUACUUCUUGGUUUAAAAUUGCAGAUACGGUCUCUCUGUUAUUACUUUAAUUAGCGCGGGUCUGGAGUUUUGUGUAGUAACGUGGAUGUCAUUUAAAAUAGAAAAAGAUGCAAAAAACUCUUGGAUUUUACGUUGGUCCCAAGCGUGUUCCCGGUGGCCAGAUGUUUGUCCGAGAUUGACAAAAUCUAGGUGACCCUAUUAAUUUUUAUAUAUUAACAUUAAGAUUUGAACUAAUUAAACUCAAAGUGGGAAUCUAUGGCUUGUUUUGAGUUGAUUACAAAAAUCGAUCCUUCAUUUUGAUCUGUUUUGAUUCCUCUAGAUAACAAAAAUGAAUUUCUUUUCUUAUUAAAUCAAGUCCUAAUCAUAAAGCCAAACAUUAUAUGCCAAAACACUCAAAUAAUUUUAUCAUUAUAGGGAUGACAAUGGGCAGUUCUUCGGGGUACCCGUUUCGUCUUGCUCCUGGCGGGAAGGGUUUAGGAUAAAGAUAAAUAGAUUUGAGAUGAAUUUAAGAAAUUUUUAAAAAUUUAGGAUGAGUUUGAGGCGGGUUCAGGUAGGACUUUGUCCCACCCCAUCCUGAGUACAUACGAUGCCUUUAAAUUAUAAUGUUAUAUAUCCUUAAAAUCAUAAUAUUAAUGUUGUUAUUUGUAAUGUCAUAAUCACAUGUUAUGUUUUGUUUUCAAAAAGCACUAAGAAAAAAAACUUGUUAAGGAAAUUGAUUUUCUAUAUUUGGUUGUCCUAUGAAAAAUAUUAAAUAAAAUUAAAUAAAAUUAAAAACUUUUACAUUUUUAAAUAAUUCAAUCUUGAUAUUGAAAAGUUCAAAUAAAUGAAAUGAAUUUGAAGUGACAUAAAAUAUUUAUUGACUUUAAAUCUGAUUUUUAUUUUCUUUUAUUUUUUUUCCUUUAUUUUUUUUCCUUGCAUUUUUAUAUAAUCAAACAAAGUCAUAGUGUAUUUAUUUAGGAAGUUUCUCUGGCAUGAUUUCUUUAUGAUCUUUCUAUGUUCAUUAUUUUUUGGGAUAAUGGAUUCCCACCUCAAGUAUUAAGAUAUAUUUAUUUAAGUUUUCAAAGUGAAUAAAUUAGUGAGGACUUGAUUAUUUGUAUCCUUUGGAGGGUUUUUCUAUAUUAUAUUUGGUGUUCUUUUUUUGAUUGAAUGUUUUUGAAUUAUUAUUAUUCAUUAUUAUUAGGAUGUUAUUAUUGUUGAGAGGGAAAAUUUUGAUCUUUAAUUCAUUUAAUUACUAAUCCAUCCAGGAUUAACCCAUGAAAGAAUUUGAAUUGGACUAGAUAUAAAAAUUUAUUUCAUAAUUUAAAAAUUCUCUUGAAAACAAAGAAUUUAAAAACGUUGAGAAAAAAAACAUGAUUUUUCUUUACAUAUUAAUUAAGUACAGUUGGUUGACACAUGUUUUUAUUUAUUUAUUUAUUUUUAUAUAUAUAUUUUUUAAUGAAGUUAAUUAGUUCAACUCUCUUGAGUGCAUGUUACGUCUGUUAUCAUUAUAAUCUAAAAAUUUAAUUUAAAUUAUUAGAUAAUAUGUCAACAAAGCAAAGAAUCUUCGCAAUGAGAAAACCUUAAAUUUAGUAUCUUCAUAAUAUUAAAAUUGAAAAAUAAAGUUGUGGGCCUAUCAAGUUGAUUUAUAGCCAUUCAAUAUAGUGUGAAUGUUAAUGGAUAGUGAAUUUUAAUAAUAUUGGAAUUAGUAGAUAGAUAAAGUUGGAAGAUAUAUGAAUUUUAGAGUAUGUUUGACAAUAUUUCUAGGAAACAUUUUUAAUAUUUCUAAUGGUUAAAAGUUUUUAUCAAAAGAAUUAUUUUCAAAUGCUAAAAUAACUAGAAAUAGUACUUCCCAAGAUCACUACUAAAUAAUCUUCAUCAUCAAUUCUUUUGGAUCUCAACAUUGUUAUCAACAUGCUAAAAUUGAAGGAUUUUUUUCUUUCCUGACUUUCUAAAUGAAGUCGUAUUCCUUUAACUAUCAUGUGAAGCCAACUUAGGCUAAAUUUUAGUUUAUAUUUCCAAGGGAUGGUUAUUCAUAUACUAAAAUUAAUGAGUGUAUACCAUAUGAAUGGUUAUUGAUAUGCUUAUGACAUUUUUAAAUUAAUACAUCAAACUCAUGGGUAUGGAUCUUUCUCACUCACGUGAUAUCAUCUUCAUUCAUCUACCACUAUUAAAUAAUAUUUUAUUACUAAGAGAACAUGCGUCCUAGGCCUUCUAUCACCGGGAUAAUCCAAUGAUAAAAAUAUAAAAGAAAUAAAGAGAGAGAAAGACAAACAAGGUACAUUUAACUAUUGAACUGCCAAUUUUCUUAAAAGAAGUUUAGGGUUUAUUUGACAACUGUUUUCAAGAAUAAUAUUUUGUUCUCCAGAAAAAAAAAAAAAAAAAACAUGUUAGAUAACUAGAAAUUAUUUUCUGUUUUAUGUUAUUAAGAAUAAAAAACACAUUAGGCUUUUAACAAUUUUAUUUUUUUUGUGGUUCAGAGUCAAGAGGGUUGAGAAGUUUCAUACUCUUCAUUGUUGUCAGGUUCUCCUUUGCUUAGUAUUUCAAUUAAUCACUACUCUGAUUACUUAGCAGAAAUGAUACAAUUUAACUAGACAUAGCUUCUGGGGUGUGGGUUCAGCUAAUAAAACAUACCCUUUUUUGAGGUGAAAUUUGUUUUGAACUUGUAAUAAUAUAAUUUCAAGAUUGUGGUUCUCGCAAUAAGCUUCGAGUGUGAGAUCAAUUAAUCAAUCUGAUCAUCUGUGAAGUCUAUUGUUGAACAAUCAAACUAAGCUUAAACGAAUAAGAUCGAGAAGGCUAUAAACACAGAAAUGGUGAAAGCUUCCCACCAAGCUUUCACCAAGAUGUAUUCUGGAACAAGAAUGAACCAGAUCUGCAAAGAAGUGCCUGAAAGUGUCAAAAAUGUAGUAAGCCUCAUGCAGCAUGGCUGACUUGGGGGUAAUGCUGCUCCCUGCAUCUGUAUUAGAAUGACCUACUGCAGUUUCCUCUAAUAUCACUGUCCCCAGCUGUGAAAUCUUAAUGUCUAAUGCCAUUUGAACUAUACUUGUCCGUGAAUUUUAGAUAACUAGGCACUGGGUCAGGACAAGUUAGCAAGACUUCUCAUGUCUUUUUUAAUAAAAAGAUAAUUACCCUUUUUUAAUUAUUUAUCAUGAUUUGGUGGUAAUAGAGCCCUUGUAUAUAUGAGGAUGUGAAGUAGAGGUCCUAUUUCAUGAAGAAUAAUGAGUCGGUAAGAUCAAUCAAGGUGUAGACCCCGCAUUUCGGCUCAUGCACUUCAACUCGAUGACGAGCUCUUUUUUUAUUUUAAAAUGAUUUUAUUGAUUUAUAAAAUGACUUGGAGUCGCUAUUUAUUUUUGUUUAAUUUUUAAAAAGGUAAACAAAAUAAGAAGGAAAACCCUAAGUAUGAUUUCUUAAUUUAGAAAAGGUGGUCUGUGAAAAACCGGAUUAGGCUCGGGGGUCAAGUUACUUAUCGGAAAGGUACGGUAAAGACCGUAGCACCUCUCUAAGUCCCUAAAAACGGGUCUCUACUAAUAAAAUAAAGCAAUCAUGACAAUUAGUAAGAAGAUCAAUGGAUAUCCAAAAAGAUCAUGCACAUACGAGAAUCUAAACAUGCAUAAAAAUGACCAGAGUGAGAAUGAGAGUGUAUCUUAACAAUGAGCCACAAUGUGCUAUCAAUAAAGGAGGUUAGUGCACAAAUAAUGGACACAAAACAUAGCUCACAUGCCACUAAAUCGAAUACGAAAUCAUCAUAUAUCACAAUUCAAUCAAAUUGAUUUUCAAAGGAAACAUCCAAUAAUGUUGGGCCCCCACCAAAGCCCGUUUUAAAUCCAUUCCAUAAAUUUCAUCAUUUGGAAUUACAAAAUUGAAUUAAUGCUUAUUUUAAAACCUUUCAAAAAUCAUGGAAUUUAUGAAAAUUGCUUGCCAUAAGGGAAAAUGGCAGCAAAUUUUUAUUAAAAAGAAAGAAAUUUUUGGAACGUAAAAAAAAUAAAAAUAAAUUCUAAGGAUGAACGAGAAUUUGAAGGAUCAAGAUUAUUAAAAGAACUAACAUUUUGAAGGUAAUUUGCAAAAUGGGACUGAGAAAACAUUUUUUUUUAAAAUCAAAGAGAAAAAAAAAGUAAAGGGAGAUGACACAUGCAUUAAGGUGGCCAUGCGGACCAUUGCUCAACACAAGAGGCUAUAGCCAUUCCCUUGUCCUUACUGCCAUAUCAGUGUGACCUAUACUGCAUGGGGCGUCUGAACCUUGAAACCCUUUCAUAACCAUAUGAAGGAUAGAAAAGGGGGCCCAUGCCUGGAAGGUCUUCGUCUUCAACUGGCGGCCAUGCAAUCCCGAUUCAUUUAAAAGAGGAGCAUUCUGAACACUCUAUCUCAACAAACUCCACAUAAGCAAAUCCUUUACUAAUCCAAAUAGAAUAUUAGUUGAGAGCGUUCUUUCAUGGGCCUCAUCCACGAUCACCACGCUGUAGCUUGCCAGAUCUGGUUCACCAAGGAAUUCUCUCAAUAACAUUCCAUCAGUCAUAUAUUUUAGAACCGUCUUUUCUGUCGUGCAAUCUUCAAAACGGAUAGAAUAGCCAACCUCAUGCCCAAGUUUAACGCCCAUUUCCUGAGAAACUCGAGCUGCAACACUCAUAGCAGCAACUCGCCGUGGCUGGGUACGUCCAACCUUUCCACGCUUUGUGUACCCAGCUUCAUGAAGAUAUUAAGGUAUCUGUGUGGUUUUCCCAGAACCAGUCUCCCCAACAAUAACAAGAAUCUGAUGAUCAUCUACUGCUUUGAGCAAUUCAUCUCGAUAUGGAUAGAUAGGCAACAUUUUUCUAUCUUCCUGAAGUUUCUCUAAUUCUGAUUUUGCGACAUAAUCAUCAUGAGGCUCAGCAAAUAAACCAUCUUCAAACUAGUCACCAUCCAUCACAGAUGCCUUGAUGAAUUCAAUCUGGUCCUCAAAUACAAACUGACAGUCAUCUGACUUUUGGUUUUUAUCUUUUAAACCAAAUUUUAAGGUUGCCUUUCCAAUUUGAUGCUCCUCCCAUGCCUCUUGUUCUGCAAAUGGAUUAAUCUUAUCAUUUGCACUUGAGUCCCUAUAACACUGCAAAGCCACAGCAAUUCUCGUCUCCUGAUUUACACCCCCUUCCUGAUCAUAAGCUUCAAACAUUCUAUACUCAUUUAUAUCAUCAGUUUCUUCUGACCUCUUCUUCACAAGAUCGUAUAUUUCCCUUUUGUACCUUAGUUCACGCUGUUCUGCUUCAAUCAACUUCACGCCAUCAAGGAGAUAUUGUUCAUCUUCUAUAUCAUCUCUAAGCUCCUCCAGUUUCUUUUGCUCCAUUUUCUUUAAAUAUUCUUGUCUUGAAACUUUUCUUAAAGCCGAAAUGUCAUCUUCCUCCAUAGCAUUAGAUCUCCGGAUUGCUUCUUCUUCCUCCUUCCGUGAUAACUUUGGCUCUGUUAACUUUCGUGUCCCUGCUGCAUCCCGUUGUCUUAUAUUCUGCUAUUGUGUUAACGAGCAUCGGAUUGUGGCCCUUCCGGUAUCGAGCCAGCCAUGAAUCAUCAAACACCACACCCUCCAUGCAUUUUCAUUCAUUCCCCACCGACCCAUCACCCUAUCAGCACGUGGAACCCUCUUAGUCAAGGAUGAUACUGCUACGGCCAAUUAAGCUUCGCUUCUUGGCUGUGGCUCUCGACCUUUGGCUGAACUGGAUUCAUAGGUUCAAUAAACACAGUGAACGAAAUAGCUAGGCAAUCCCAUUCCCAAUGGAAGAUGCAGCCAUGGUUUCCCAUGCGAAGUUGUGGGAAGCUUUACUGGGAUCAUAGAACAAGGACGCAACACCCAUAGCUACCUUCAAAAUGUCACUGACAAGACUGAAGUUGCUGAAUCAUUUGGAUGUUCUUGUGAUCAAUUCUGCUCUUAGAUGACAUCCAAACUUUGAGAAUAUGUAUCCCUUGUAAGAAUUCACAGCCAGCCCUGAUUUCUGUCUCUCUCACAGCCAAUGUAUUGAACAAGAUCCAGGAAUAAAAGGCAACCACAGAAGAGAAGAAACCAUAGGAACAGAGCAUGAAAGAAAACAAAAUAAAAAAAACAUCCUCAAAUGAGGCUUCACAUGGGUCAUCAGUGAGCCCUCUGAUUAAGUGAGAAAAACCACAUCAAAUACGACUAUUGGCAUGAUUCUUAGGUAUUUCGCAAUAGAGGCAAGGUAUAUUAAGAUCAACAAUGGCAAACACAAGUUCAAGAUUAUAUAUCAACAAGCAACAAGUGGCCUUCAUCAUUCACCCCAAGCAAACCAAUAAAUAUCCAAAUAUCGACAAGAAAUGUAGAGGGAUAGUAAGGAUCCGAAUCAAACAAUAAACCUGUUGCAUUCAUACCUGAGAGUACCCUUCUUUAGUAAAGCUCUGUUCAGCUUCAAACACCUUAAAUCCACCUCCAAUGCCAACGAAACUAAUGAAACAGUGGAGCCAUCCUCCUCUACUCUCCAAAUAUACAGCUCUCCCUCUCUCUCACUCUCUGGUUAUCUCUCAAAACUUUUCUUCCAAGGUCCCACGAAAACUCUCCCUGUUACUCCCCUCCAGCUUGCUACCUCCAAGCUAAACGAAAUCCCCCUCAAAAUAUCUCUCUCAAUCAGCAAGAAAAAAGCACCCUUUCACCUACAGCUGGCUACCCUCAGAACAGAAUACACGCUCCUGCAGAAUCUCCCUUUACAAGUGUCCCUUUUCCAUUAGCUCAUUCAAAACACUAGCUGAUUCCCUAGCAGCCGAUCAGGAGGCAGCACAUGGCUCUUUGAGAGCCCUCCACCUGGCAAAAAUGAGCUGCAGGAACAUGAAAAAAAGGAGCCCCAAAAAUGGGGGUCUACACAAGGUCUCAUCAUGAUGGGUUCAAAGAUGUAGCUCAUUUUGAGCUCAACAUUUAGAGAUUUAGAGCAUAAGGUCUUGUGUAAGGUUGAAAAUGCAUUCCUUUUCUUUACAUUAGACAAUUGCUUAGAACAACAUCUGAGACACCAUUGUUCUGUCUAAGCUUUUAUUGGAGAUGAAUGAAGCAAUGGAUGUGAGUAGGUCUUUCAAUGUUCUGUUCUACUUCUUUGUUGACAUCAUGUAGAGAGGCCUAAGAAUUUUUACAAAAAUAAUAAUAAUAAUAAUAAUAAUAAUAAUAAUAAUUAUGAAAGUGAAUGUAAUUUAUAAAUUUGAAGUAGUCUUAGAGCUGUUUAGAUGAUUUGUGGCAUAUCAAACUUAUUGACUAGGGUAUUGGCCUUUCUCUUAAUUUUCAUCAGUGUUCCUAAUCGAUAUCCACCUCUGUCCUUGCAUGGCCUUGCAAAAUCUUGAAAUGUUCAGCUAUACCAAAAUGAGGCAUUAGAAGCCAAAUAUGAGUGAGCAGCUCUCUGCCUUGCCAUGAUGAUUCCAUCAAGCCAUUUUUUGAGCACUCACAGAACUUGGUUAACUGUGGGAACUUUAUUUUUGCCUUUAUUCUCCCCUGCUGCAGGCUAAACCUCAUGGUUCUGAGACCAAAGAAUUUUGUGAGUGUGGAAAAAAAAAAAACAAAAUUGGGGUAAGAUGGACUGGAGUGGGUUAAACAAAAAGGAUCAAUUAAUAAAUCCGAGUCAACCUCAGUCUAUAGGUUAUAGCCUUUUUCAAACCUCUUGGAUUUCUCUCGCCUAUAAUGUCAUGGAAAUUUCUUGAUGAUUUCUUCUAAACUAGGGUCUUGUAUGCUGUAGCAUAAGCCCUACUUCUAUAUCAUUAAUUCUGUAAAGGAACCACUAGAUCAUAUAACAAAUUCUGACCCUCUUCUUAAUUGCUCUUCUAGGUAGCAACUUUAGUGAAAUUGCAUUAAAAAAAUUCUACAUGGCUUGUAACUUGGCAAUCACCAUUGGAGACAGUUUGUUUAUUUGUUUGUUUUGGCCAUACCAUAGAUUUGUUCACUUGUGAGAGUCCAUUGUCAUAAGAAACAAAAUAGUAGGCUUGUCGCUUGUGCUCCCUGGCUACAUUUCAACAAAAUGUUAAGAUUGCUUUCAAAGGGGACGAAGUGAAGCCCUUUUUCUAAUCUUUUAUAGCUGUGUUGUUGGGGAAUAGUGUCAUGGUGUGAAAUGAACUACUUAAAUCAUUAAUUAAUAAGGUUAUUCCCUGAGAAAUAUGCAAAUCAAUGGUUUUAGUUGAAGGAAUAUUCCACAUGUGACUGGGAUUAUGGGAAAUGUCAAGGAAGCUAUCCCUUUCUCUCCGGCUACAAAAUAAAUUUGACGGCUCCAAUUAUUUUCUCUAGCUACAACCUAAAUUUUGCAGUUCCAAUCCCCAAGAUUUGAGUCUUGUAGAAGCCUCUUUCUCCUCAGUAUUAUGGGAAAAAGAGGAGGUAGAAUGGAGGAUCCAUGGCCAAGGUCAUUCUCUCAUGGGUGGCACAGAAGCUGUGUGUUCUGGUCAUUCAAGAAUCAGGCCCUUUGAAUGGACUAGAAGAAAAGGUCAGACAUCAAUUUUAUAUCUUUCACAGGAGGAAUCUCUCCCCUUUAAUUUGCCCAAUAUAGAUAUUUUUCCAUUUCAUCCAUACCAAUCAUUUCUUUUAUUUUCUUCCUUAAUUAUUAACUACUUUUAUGCAAAUGGAUGUAAGAAUGUUUCAGGUUCCCCUUAAAUAAAACAAAGCACAAAUGGGAGUAACAGUUCUAAGGAAAGACUCCACCUUUAAAAUGAAACUUAAAGCAAAUGCAACAAUGGUGGAACUCUCACCACCUCAAUAGAAACUCCUUUGAAUAAAAGGAUUGAAAACCAUUUUUGAGAAAAAAGGAAUUUCCAUGGAAAUGGAGAAAAUCGACCCAAUCUCUUUGUCAUCAGCAUUCCUAAUUCACAACCAGCCUAAUCCUGGCAUACAUGUUCAGUAAUACCAAAAUGAGCCAUGAGAAGCCAGACAUGAGUGAGCAGCUCUCCACCUAGCCUUAGCUUCUCGGCAUGGUGAUUCCUUGGACAGUGACAUGCAGCAUAACAUAGCAUCUCUACCCACACAUGACUCAUCAACUCCCAUUUCUUUUCACAAUUCCAUUCCUCUUCUGUCUCCAGGGAUUGCAAAGACUUGGCCAGCCUACAGGCUUCGGAUAACACUGACUUGCUUCUAUCUCCCUUCACUUUCAAUUGUGGAAUUUCAGUGUUCACUUGAAGAAGUAACUUUUUACAAGCUUGGAUUCUAUCUUUUACACACUUAAAAAUGUCCGUGGCCUCAGCACAGCUGUCUUGAAAUCGGAUUUGUCCAAUUCCAUCAGGCAACAUAACGGGGUGCUUGACCAGAAGAUACACCAUAUAAUCUGAUAGCAGCUUGCUUGCUUUACGGUUUGAGUUCUCGGCAGGGCUUGAUUUUUUAUUUAGAUCAGUAUAGUAGCAGAGAUCAGUUGCUAGGUGCCAGAGGAGAAUGCUUUGGUCGAAUUCUCCCCCAGUGCUCCAACCCAAUCUAGAGAAACAGUUCAUCUUUUCAAGUAUCCAAUCUCCUCUGCGAGCACAUAAUUGCUUGGCUGCCUCAAUGUCUAAGGCAAUUGUGGAUUUCUCCAUAAGCUGUUCAAAGAUCAAAAUUUUCAAACAUUUGGGGACAACAUUUGAAUUCUUAGAAGAACACUCAUCCAACUUCGGACAAAUGCAGAAGAAAUUCCAGACCUCACUGAACUCCUCCAAUAUCUGAGAAAUGCCAAAGAACUCCCAGACCUCACUGAACUUGAUAGGCAAUUUUUUGAGGCUGUAACUUAUCAGACUGUACUGUGCCAUGGAAUCAGACCAUCUCUUGUUUGCAGGGAAUAGAAAAGGUAGUCGGCAACUAGAUAUGGCUUCACAAAUGAGAACCGUCACUCGUGUUUUGUCUUGUUUGCUCAACCAAUUCAUGGUCCAGUCAGAGGAACACAGUAGAAUAAUAGAAUAGAUCUCCUGAACAAUUGUCUCAACCAGCAACAACCAUGUUAUAAUCACGUCAAUAUUUGAGUACUCAUGCUUGUCAAUUGUCAAGAAGACCAUGAAUGUUGAGAUUGCUGAAAAUAGACAGAUGAAACGGCGUACCAAACCCCAUUCAUCAUAAGCCACCAUUCGCUUGGUAUGGAAGAUGUCAUACAUGAAUCCAAGCUCAAUCUCAAUCACUUCGAAAGCUUCUGUCCAAGAUAUAUUCUUGAAAAACAACUUGCUUGGUUCAAGAUCUGUCGGCUCAAGGACGACAUCUGUAAAUAAACGCUUGAACUUGGGGAAGAAUUCAUUAGCCUUUUGCGAAGGGGUUGCAACUGGAUUGCUUUUGUUUCUGGGGUUUGGCGAAGAUUCUGGGAUGGGGUCUGGUGAAGGUAUAUACACCACCUCAGAUAUUUCACUUUCUGGCUGGCAUGAAACCAAAUAUCCCUGAGCUUUCUUGGAAUCACACUUUGCCAUGAAUGGGGCAUAACUGACCCCAUCAUAUUCUGCCAUGAAAGCGUCACAACAAUGUCCAUUACACCCUGCCAUGAAUGUGGCACACGCACAGCUGGGCCCCUGGUCAGGGGGGACUGGGGGGCACCUGGUCGAGGGGGUGGGGGGGCAGAGGCACCCGGUCUGGGGGGGCCAGGGGCACCCGGUCGGGGGGGGCCAGGGGCACCCGAUCGGGGGGGACCAGGGGCACCCGGUCGGAGGGGGCCAGGGGCACCCGGGCGAGGUGGACCCGGAGGACCCGUUCGGUGUGGGCCCUGAGGACCCGUUUGGUGUGGGCCCUGAGGACCCGUUCGGUGUGGGCCCUGAGGACCCCGUUGGGGUGGGCCGGUGGGCCGGGUCAGUAAGCCCUCGGUAUCGACGACGGAUCAUGGUUUUUCUAAGAUGAUCAUUGCUUCCGGCCCUUAGAAACGAAGUUUUCUCCCCAUACUUGAUCAGUCCUGUCACAAACAUUGGCAUGCUUAUAAUAUUGAGUGGUGUGCCCUUCCAGGACCUUAAAAAGAUGCUCAAUGCCCACACAAACUUCAAGAGUAUCUGAAUGAAUUGUCUUUUCCAUGAUUCAUUGUCUUCUAAAGAAUAGGCUGUGAUGGUGUCCGGGCCUCCAAGGUGUUGUAGCAGAAAUGCUAGCCAAAAUGCGUUUAUCAUAUCGUUUUGUUGUGAUGAGUUAUCUUCACCAGCUCCUUGGCACUUGAAGAGUAAGCCAAUAAAGAUAUCAACUAUCGCAUCUUUGGUUGUGUAAGCUUGCCAAAUGAUCAAUCUAAGCAAGUUUCCGGGUGUAUAUUUUCUCCUACUGCCUAGGAGGACGAGCUCAAUUUGUAAGAGGAGGCUGACUAAAACCAAUCCACGGAGUAGCCAGUCAUUAAGAAAUCCUAUCACAAUUACAGGCAAAAUUUCUUGAACAAUCCUCCUAUUCAUGAUCAUCAUGCAUCUAGUACCUGAAAAUAUAAAAAUAAAUUAUUAGAUUAAUACAAAAGAUCUGAAUGUCCAUUGAUCAUUAGAAAUGACAGAGUUGAAUCGAUGAGGAACAGAAUUCGGCAAGCUCAAAACCUAAACCUUUUGACACAUCUCAGUCAUACAAUACUACUAUCCUCCUUUCUUGUAGAUAUUACCUACUAUAGACCCAAUGGACCUUUAUAGCUUUAAAAAUGGGAUAUAUCAUAAUAUGAUCUAUAUACAAGAUAGAUAUUGUCCAUUCCAAGCCAAAUUAUCCCUCACAGUUUUAAAUGACGGAUAUUACAAUGAUUCCCAUAUAAACACGACAUCCUCAUUGUUCCAUGGGAUUACAAAGUGUAUAAAAAAAGUUCUACACCAGGGUUGAGGUUGGGGGUUACAUGUGGAAAAGAAUUGCAUAAGGAGGCAAUCGCUCCUCUUCAUAUAAAUAUUGUUUACUCUAAAUGCAAUGCGUGUCUAUAGGAUUAAGAAAACUGUACACUGGUACAAACUUUUUUUCCCUCUAAGAGCGGUAUCACACUAUUAAUAAUUCAUUAAGUAAAAAAUUCAAAAUUUUGCAUCCUCUCUUGCUUUCAACACAGUGAUUAGCACCUCUAAGCAAUUUCUUCCUUGAGCACAUUUUUGGAAAUGGGGAGUGAUUUUUUUCAGAGGGUGUUUCUGAUUUCAAAUAGUAAAACAAAAUGCACUUUUGAUUUCGAUUUUCAAAUAAUGAAGGAAACUAAUUACUUCACUACAAACCAGAUUCCAACUUGCUUACCGGCACAGCUACAUGACAUUACAACUACAUAGAAUAAUGAGUUUCUCAGCAACCAAACGGAGCUCAACCCAACACCCAAACUCAGUCAGAAUUCCACAAGCUUACAAAUAACAAUAACCUCAAACUCAUUAGUAUUCAUAUGGGCUAACUAACAAGGAUCAAACCGAAGCAAAUUUGUAUGUAAUUGAGAAUAAUCUAGGCCAAACAAAACAUACCCACUUUUCUCCGAGUCUGUCAAUGUGAUGUGAGGGAGAGAGACAGUUGGAAGUGUGAUGGGAGGUCAAGAGUGAAAGCAGAAAUACUGAGUGAAGUCUUCCCUCCGUCAUUUUUUAUAUUUGGUGUGCCAUCUUAGUGAGACCCACUUAUUGGUUUAAAAUUGCAGAUUCAGUCUCUUUGCCGCUACUUUAAUUAGCGUGGGUCUGGAGUUUUGUGGAUAAGUAACGUCGAUCUCUCUGGCUUUUAAAAUAGAAAAAGAUGCAAAACUUUUUAUAAACUUUUGCAUUUUAGGUUGGUCCCAAGCGAGCUCCAGUUGGCCGGAUGUUUCUUUGUGAUCAACGAAUUAAAUCCAUUUGAUCCUAUUAAUAUUUAUAUAUUAAUAUUAAGAUUUGAACUAAUUGAAUUCAAUGUGGGAAUCUAUCAAUGUGGUUUGUUUUAAUUUAAUUACAAUAAUUGAACCCUCUUCAUUGUGAUCUAAUUUGAUUCCUCUAGACAAAAAAAAUACAAUUUUUUUUCUUGUUAAUUUAAGUUGUAAUCAUAAAGCCCGACAUUAUAUGUCAAAAAACACAAAUAAUGUUAUCAUGAUAAAAUGGGUCAAGUUUUUUUAGGUUCCUGAAGAUGCUCAAAAAUCUUCAUAAAUAAUUGACAAUUUUGGUUCUACCAUUUCUGGAUUCAAAUGAGGUUUCUUGAUGCAGAAAUGCGUUUCAGGGUUUUGGGAGAGUUUUUCCCAAGGGGAGCCGACCUGAAGGCAUGUCAGUUCAAUAGGUGUAUUUGAAUAACAUCCAUCUACAUUGGGUCAAGCCAAUAAACUUAGUAUUUGCACCGGGUCAAGUUGAUACACUAAGUAAAAAAGGAACCCACCUUUGAUUUGACCCAAGAGGCAAAAGCUCUGCAUGAGUACCACACCAUUAACCAUAAAGACUAUAAAAACAAACCCUAAAAAUAACUCAAAGAGGAGCAUAUAAGUAGCUCCUCCCCAACCAAAGACAGGUUGGUUCCCUGUUGGGAAAACUCUCCCAAAAUCUUGAAACCCAUUUUUGUAUCAAGGAACCUCCUUUGAAUCCAGAAAUUGUAGGACCAAAAAUGUCAAUUAUUUAUGAAGAUUUUCGAGCAUCUUCAUUUGGGGCCAUCUAUGGGAAAGUCUAAGCUCAUCACACUUAGAACGAAAAGCCAUUCAUGAAAGAUCAAGAAGAUCUUUACAAACGUGAGGAGCCAACACCCUUACGCAUAUACAUUAGUGUCAAUGAGUUUUCCUUGCCAAAAGUCAUUAGUUGAAUCAUCAUUCUCAUAUCAAUCAAACUAAAGAUAUAUCUCAUAGCCAUAAAACCUAUAUAGUCUUUGAAUCACUCAUCUCUUUACCAUAAAUAAAAAUUUUCAAGUGUUAGAAAGAUUAUAAACACUUCUUAAAAUUAUUAUCAAACGCACUCUAAUAUUUAAAUAAUAAAAAUUUUCAAGUAUUAAAAAUAUUAAAAGUAUUUCUUAAAAUCACUAUCAAAUGAGCUCUAAGUGAUUUUUUAAUACUAUAAAUAAUUUUUCAAAAUUUUAAAAAUGUUUUCUAAAUCUUGUUAAGCGUCUCAUUUUUCUUUAAAAACACAUUUAAAAUUUAAAGUAUUUCUUAAAAACACGCAAUGCAUAUCUUGAUUUUCAGCUAAAACUACUAUUGCCUUUGUUGAUUUUAGUAAAACGAAAUGCACUCCUGACUUCACUACAAACCAGAUUCCAACUUGCUUGCCUAGAAAAUAUCCACUGGUACCCACUGGCACAACUGCAUGACAUUACAACAACUACAUAGGAAAAUGAGUUUCUCAGCAGCCAAACAGAGCUCAAUCCAACACCCAAACUCAUUCAAAAUUCUACGAAGUUACAAAUAACAAUAACCUCAAUCUCAUUAGUGGGUCAAGAUGCUAAACGUUUUAGUCAGACCAAACAAGCAGAAAUAGUGGGGUGAAGAUGCAAAACAUCUUAGUGAGACCCACUUAAUGGUUUAAGACUGCAGAUUCAUUUUCUCUAUCGUUACUUUUAUUAGCGCGGAGUCUUGUGGACAAGUGACGUCCAUCUCUGUCAUUUAAAAAUUUAAAAUAGAAGAAGAAGCAAAACAAGUGAUGUGAUCAACUUUUUGCAUUUUAGGUUGGUCCCAAGCGUGCUCCCGGUGGCCCCCAUGUUUCAAUUAACCAAAAUCGAUAAAUCAAAUCAAAUCCACCUUAUUAAUUUUUAUAUAUUAACAUUAAGAUUUGGACUAAUUGAACUCGUAUUGGAAUUCUAUCAAUAUCGUCCAACUUCAUUUUGAUCUGUUCCUCUAGACAACAAAAAAAAAAAAACAAUUUUUUUUUUCUUGUCAUAAUAUAAAAUUCCACGUUAUAUGCCAAAAAACCAAAAUAAUAUGAUUAUACUAGGGAUGAUACUGAUACGAGUUUUUUCUAUUAUCGAUUUUAUCCUACCUUAAACGGGAAGAGUUUGAGAUAAAUAUAAAUAAAUUCAAAGAUGGAUUUAAUAAGUUUUUAAAACCCCAAGAUGGGUUCUAUUUCAAUUAUAUAUAAUUUUAAAUAAAAAUUUAUUUUAGUUGAUUUUUUUUUAUUUUUCAAAAUUUUUAAUAUAAAUAAAAUAGUAAUUUUCAUAAAAAUAAAUUAUACAUAUUUUUAAUAUUUAUUUAUUUGUAAAUAUUUAUUUUUAAAAUUUUAAAAUGAAAAAAAAAUGUUUUUUUUAUAAAAAAACUUAAACAAGGACGGGUUUAUUUAUUUAUUUACUAUUAUUAUUAUUUGCAAUGAAAGAAAUUACAAAUGUGGUUGGGCCGCCCUAUGCAAUCUCGUGAUUCAUUUAUUUAUUUUUUUGGUGGAGAAAAGAAUUAACAGAAUGUGAUUGGUGGGAGUGACCUGCACGCUGCCUAAUAGGUAACUUCUUUAAGAAAGCAUAUUGAAAUUAUAAUAUCAUACAUUCAUUUCAAAUAAUAUUAUUAAAGUUGUUAGUGGAUAUGUCAUAAUGAGAGUAUAUUUGCUUUCUAAAAUGUACAAUGAAAAAAAAAUUAUUAAAAAAUUGAAUUUCUCACCUUUGGUUCUCAUAUAAAAAAAAUAAAAAAUAAAAAAAAUAUAAUGAAAAUUAAUUAAAAUUUUAUAAUUUUUAAAUAUAUUAAAAAGUUAAAAUGAAUUUAAAAGUGAUAUAUAAAAAUAAUUUAUUUUCUUUUAAUUUUAUUUUUUUCACUUUUUAUUUUCUUUUAUUUUUAAUUUUAUUUUUUUUACAUUUUUUAUUAUCUAAUUUUUAUUUAAAAUAUAGUUGAUUAUAUUAGGGUGCGAUUGAUAUUGUUUUCAUUCGAAAUGUUUUUUGUGAAAAUGUUGUCUCUUAGAGUGUUUUUAAAAGAAUCACAUAAAAGUGUUUCUCCAAAAAACAUUAUAAUUGAUUUUCCAAUCCUUCAAGUGAUUUAUCUAAUUUUUAAAAAUAUUUCUUAAAUUUUGUAUUGUUUAAAACUAAGGUUAAAAGUGUUUUUCAAAACACUCCUAGCUAAAACUACUAUUGCUUUUGUUGAUUUUAGUAAAACAAAUUGCACUUCUGGUUUCAAAUAAUGAAACAAAACUAAUCACUUCACCACAAACUAGAUUCCAACGCGCUUUCCCAGUAAAUAGCCACUGGCACAACUACAUGACAUUACAACAACUACAUAGAAAAAUAGGUUUCUCGGCAGCCAAACAGAGCUCAACCCAACAUCCAAACUCAUUGAGAAUUCCACUAGCUUACAAAUUACAAUAACCUCAAAAUCAUUGGUGGGGUGAAGAUGCUAAACAUUUUAGUCAGAACAAACAAGCAGAAAUAGUGGGGUGAAGAUGCAAAACAUCUUAGUGAGACUCACUUAUUGGUUUAAAAUUGCAGAUUCAUUCCCUCUGUCAUCACUUUAGUUAGUGCGGGUCUGGAGUCUUGUGGAGAAGCUACGUCCAUCUCUCUGUCAUUUACAAUUGAUAAAAUGAUGCAAACCAUUUUAUAAACUUUUUGCAUUUUAGGUUGGUCCCAAGCGUGCUCCCGGUGGUCCUAUGUUUCUCCUAGAUCGAUAAAUUAAAUCCAAUCCACCUUAUAUAUUUUUACAUAUUAACAUUAAGAUUUGAACUAAUUGAACUCAAAGUGGGAAUCUAUCAAUGUGUGGUUUGUUUUGAUUUAAUUACAAUAAUCCAUCCUACUUCAUUUUGAUCUGUUUUGAUUCCUCUAGACAACAAAAAACAAAUUUUUUUUCUUGUUACUUUAAGUCAUAAAUCGUAAUGAUAAAGCUAGACAUUAUAUGCCAUAAAACUCAAAUAAUGUUAUUAUAAUAGAGAUGACAAUAAGAUUGAUUUUUUCGGUAUCGAUCUCAUCUUGUCCCUAAUGGGAGUGGAUUUGAGAAGUUUUUAAAACCCCAAGAUUAGUUCAAGUAUGAAUUUGUCACGUCAUGUCUAUCUUGAUUAUAUAUGAUGUUAAAUAAAAAAAUUAUAUAGUUGAUUUUUUUUCAACAUUUUUAAUAUAAAUAAAAUAUUAAUUUUCUUAAAAAUAUAAAUAUUUAUAAUAUUUAUUUAUAAUAAAAAUUUACUUUCAAACUCUCUUGUAGUCGAUGGGACGAACUCAAUGAAGUUUUGGGUUUGUGUUUUUUUAGUGUGUUUUAUGAUUACAUUUGGAUCAAAUGGACCAUCUAUUUGAAUGGGCCGACCCUUGUGAGAGACACAAAUGAUUUUUAAGCACUCUAAUUAUCUACAAAAAAUUAUUAAAAUAGAUAAUUACCCUUUUUUUAAUUAUCAUGAUUUGGUGGUGAUAAAAAUACUACUUAGCCUUUCUAUAUAUAUGAGGAUGUGAAGCUGAGGUCUUGUUCAAUGAAUAUUAAUGAGUUGGUAAGAUCAAAGAUGCAGCUCAUUUUGAACACAACAUUUAGAGAUUUAGAGGAUAAGGUCUUAUGUAAGGUUGAAAAUGCAUUCCUUUCCUUUACAUUAUACAAUUGCUUAGAAGAAGACCUGAUACAGCAUUGUUCUGUUUAAGCUUUUAUUGGAGGUGGUAAUGAAGCAAUGAAUGUGAGUAGCUCUUUCAAUUUUCUGCUCUACUUCUUUGUUGAGAUAAUGUAGAGAGGCCUAAGAAUUUCUACAAAAAUAAAAAUAAAAAAAAUUAUGAAAGUGAAUGUAAUUUAUAAAUUUAAAGUAGUCUUAGAGCUAUUUAGAUGAUUUGUGGCAGAUCAAACUUAUCGACUAGGGUAUUGGCCUUUCGUCUAAUUUUCAUCAGUGUUCCUAAUCGAUAUCCACCUCAGUCCUUGCAUGGCCUUGCAAAAUCUUGAAUCGUUCAGCUAUACCCAAAUGAGGCAUUGGAAGCCAAACAUGAGUGAGCAGCUCUCUGCCUUGCCUCACCUCCUUGCCAUGGUGAUUCCAUCAAGCCAUUUUUUGAGCACUCACAGAACUUGAUUAAGUGUGGGAACUGUAUUUUUGCCUUUAUUCUCCCCUGCUGCAGGCUAAACUUCAUGGCUCUGAGACCAAAGAAUUUUGUUGUGUAUGAAAAAAGAUGGAGUGGGGGUUAAUAAAAAAGAUAGUGAUAAAGCUUUGAGUUUGGGAUCAACUAAUAAAUCUGAGAUAACCUCAGAAUCCAUAGAGCAUUUUUCAAACCUCGUGGAUUUCUGUUGCUUGAUGAUUUCUUCUAAACUGGCUCGUGUAUGCUAUAAGCAUAAGCCCUACUGCUAUGUCAUUAAUUCUGUAAAUGAACUACUAGAUCAUGUAACAAAUUCUGACCCUCUUCUUAAUUGCUUUUCUAGGUAGCAACUUUAGUGAAUUGUUUAUUUGUUUGUUUUGGCCAUACCAUACAUUUGUUCACUGGUAUGCUACAAAUCUUUAAAAACACGUCUCUAUCAGUAUUGCUUCCAGAUGAGGGUGGUGAAAAUCCAUCCUCAUAAGAAACUAAAAAGCAGGCUUCUCGCCUGUGCUCCCUGGCUACAUUUCAACAAAAUGUUAAGACUGCUUUCAAAGGAGACGGAGUGAAGCCCUUUCUAAUCUUUUAUAGUUGUGUUGUUGGGGAAUGGUGUUACGGUGUGAAAUGAACUACUUAAAUCAUUUAUUAGUAAGGUUAUUAACUGGGUAAUAUGCAAAUCAAUGGUUUUAGUUGAAGAAAGAUUCCACAUGUGACUGGGAUUAAGGGAAAUGUCAAGGAAGCUAUCCCUUUCUCUCCAGCUACAACAUAAAUUUUACAGUUCCAGUUAUUUUCUCUAGCUACAACCUAAACUUUUCAGUUCCAAACCCUAAGAUUUGAGUCUUGUAGAAGCCUCUUUCUCCUCAGCAUUUUAGGAAAAAGAGGAGGCAGAAUGGAGGAUCCAUGGCCAAGGUCAUUCUCUCAUGGGUGGCACAGAAGCUCUCUGUUCUGGUCAUUCAAGAAUCAGGCCUUUUGAAUGGACUUGAAGAAAAGGUCAAUUCCAUCUACUUGGAACUGGGUUCUUUAUUGAGAGAACCGUCAGAACUAGAGGAGUUCAGGGGCAUUGCCUAUGAUACAGAGGAUGUAAUUGAUGACCUGACACUGAAAUCAUCAGCAACAAGAAGGAGAAGUAGAGUUCACAAGAAGCUGGAGCAGAUCAAGGCUAAGAUCUAUGAUGUAAGUAGAGGGCCAGCUUCUUACGCUUUCAUACCAGCACAACCAGUAGAGGAACAGAACAUAGCCAUCACAGUUGUUUCCCCGGUUAUAGAUAAACUUACAGCUCUUUUAGCUCAGUUGUCUUUCGUCCUCAAGUGAGAUGGAAGGCCAGAAGGUUACAGGAUGAAUUUAAGUUGAUGAAGAAUCAGAAAAUUUAGAUGAAAGUGGAAUGAUAUGGAUGGAGGAACUCUGCAACAUUUCUAUUUAUGCAGCAGAUGUAAUUGGGUUCUACACCAACAGGAGGAAACAGUUUAAAUGGAAGGAACUAUAAGGACAGUCAUCACAGCCUUUGACAAAUUGUGGUCUCAGCUUCGUCUAGGCAUGGAGUUGGAUGCAAUCAAUGCUAGGAUCCAGGACAUUUCUGAGAGCUUGUGGACAAAUUCAUAAGAAAAAUCCAUACUAAUUGAAUACACAUCAGUAACUUGGAAGAAAGCCUAAGAGGUGCAUAUAUAUUGUACAUAUGCCAAUUAUUUCCUUUAUUUUCUUCCUUAAGUACAACUACUUUUAUGCAAAUGGAUGUAAAAAUGUUUAGGAUUCCACACACAACAUAACACAGUAAGGAAGAGGUGCAUAUAUAUAUUCUACAUAUGCCCCUUACAUAAAACAAAGCACAAAUGGGAGUAACAAUUCUAAGGAAAGAUUCCACCUUCAAAAUGAAACUUAAAGAAAAUGCAACAAUGGUGGAACUCUCACCACCUGAAUUGAAACUCCUUUGCAUGAAAGGAAUGAAAACCAUUUUUGAGAAAAAAGGAAUUUCCAUGGAAAUGGAGAAAAUCCACCCAACCUCUUUGUCGUCAGCAUUCCUAAUUCACAACCAGCCUAAUCCUGGCAUACAUGUUCAGUAAUACCAAAAUGAGCCAUGAGAAGCCAGACAUGAGUGAGCAGCUCUCCACCUUGCGUUAGCUCCUUGGCAUGUUCAUUCCGUGGACAGUGACAUGCAGCAUAACAUAGCAUCUCUACCCACACAUGACUCAUCAUCUCCCAUUUCUUUUCAUUGUUCCAUUUUUCUGACUCCAGAGAUUGCAAAGACUUGGCCAGCCUACAGGCAUCAAGUAACACUGACUUGCUUCCAUCUCCUUUCGCUUUCAAUGGAGGAAUUUCAGUGUUCACUUGAAGAAGAAACCUUUUACAAGAUUGGAUAUUUCUAUCUUUUACAGUCUGAAAAAUCUUUGUGGCCUUAGCACAGCUGUCUCGAAAUCGGAUUUGUCCAAUUCCAGGAGGCAGCAUAAGGGGGCGCUUGAGCAGAAGAUACACCAUAUAAUCUGAUAGCAGCUUGCUUGCUUCACGGUUUGAGUUCUUGGCAGGGCUUGAUUUUUUGUUUAGAUCAGUAUCGUAACAGAGAUCAGUUGCUAGGUGCCAGACGAGAAUGCACUCAUCGAAUUCUCGCUCAACGCUCCAAUGUAAUGUAGAGAAACAUUUCAUCUCUUCUAGGGUCCGUUUUCCUCUGUCAGCACAUAAUUCCUUGGCUUCCUUAAUGCCUGGGGCAUGCCUUGAUUUCUCCUGAAGCUGUUCAAAGAUCAAAAUUUUCAAAUAUUUGGGGACAUCUGAAUUCUUAGAAGAACAUUCAUCCAACAUCCGAGGAAUGCAAAAGAACUUCCAGACGUCACUGAACUUGAUAGGCAAAUUUUUGAGGCUGUAACUUAUUAGAUUGUACCGUGCCAUGGAAUCAGACCAUCUCUUGUUUGCAGGGAAGAGAUAAGGUAGUCGGCAACUCGAUAUGGCUUUGCAGAUCCGAGUCACUCGUGUUUUUCCUUGCUUGUUCAACCAAUUCAUGGUCCAGUCAGAGGAACACAGUAGAAUAAUAGAAUAAAUCUCCUGAACAAUUGCUCCAACCAGCAACAACCAUGUUAUAAUCACGUCAGUAGUUGAGUACUCAUGCUUGUCAAUUAUCAUGAAGCCGAUGAAUGUUGAGAUUUCUGAAAAUAGACAGAUGAAACGGCGUACCAAACCCCAUUCAUCAUAAACCUUCAUUGGCUUGGUAUAGAAGAUGUCAUAAAUGAACCCAAGCUCAAUCUCAAUCACUUCGAAAGCUUGUUUCCAAGAUAUAUUAUUGAAGAAGGACUUGCUUUGUUCAAGAUCUGUCGGCCCAAGGACGACAUCUGUAAAUAAACGCUUGAACUUGGGGAAGAAUUCAAAAGCCUUUUGCAAAGGGGCUGCAACUAGGACACUUUCAUUUCUGGGGUCUGGCGAAGGUGUAUUCUCCACCUCAGAUUUUUCACUUUCUGGCUGGCAUGAAACACAAUAUCCCUCAGCUUUCUUGCAAUCACACUCUGUCAUGAUCAAUGCGGCAUAACUGACCCCAUCAUACUCUGCCAUGAAUGCGGCACAAGCACAGCCCCUGGUCGGGUGGUCCAGUUCCGGGCCCGGGACCGGGACCGGGACCGGGAGUGGAUGAGAAAUCGUGGUUUUUCUAAAAUGAUAGUAGCUUCCGGACCUUAGAUACCCAGUUUUCUCUCCGCACUUGAUCAGUCCUGUCACAAACAUUGGCAUGCUUAUAAUAUUGAGUGGUCUGCUCUUCCAGGACCUUAAAAAGAUGCUCGAUGCCCACACAAACUUCAAGAGUAGCUGAAUGAAUUGUCUUUUCCAUGAUUCAUUGUCUUCUAAAGAAAAGGCUGUGAUGGUGUCCGGGCCUCCAAGGUGCUGUAGCAGAAAUGGUAGCCAAAAUGCCUUUAUCAUGUCGUUUUGUUGUGAUGAUUCCUUGGCACUUGAAGAGCACGCCAAUAAAAAUAUCAAUUAUCGCAUCUUUUGUUGCGUAAGCUUGCCAAAUGAUGGAUCUAAGCCAGUUUCCUGGUGUAUAUUUUCUCCUGUUGCCCAGGAGGAGGAGCUCUAUUUGUGAGAAGAGGCUGACUAAAAUGAAUACACGGAGUAGCCACUCAUUAAGAAAUCCUAUCACAAUUACGGGCAAAAUUUCCUGGACAAUUCUCCUAUUCAUGAUGAUCAUGCAGCUAAUACCUGAAAAUAUAAAAAGAAAUUAUCAGAUUAAUACAGAAGAUCUGAAUGUCAAUUGAUCAUUAGAAAUGACAGUUGAAUCGAUGAGGAACAGAGUUUAGCAUACUCAAAAUCUAAACCUUUUGACACAUCUCAAUCAUACAAUACUACUAUACUCAUUUCUUGUAGAUAUUACCUGUAGUAUACUUUGAUUUUAUGGAUAUAUUGAAGAUAUAUCGACGGAUAAUUUGGAAAAAAUUAUGAUAAGCCUAAAAUUCAUCAAAACUUAUGGAAAUAUAUAUAUAUAUAUAAACCUUAUAAAAAUGUAAUUAGAAGUAUAAUAGACAUUGUAAAGUUGUUUUGUUAAAUAAAAUUAUAUAUGUAUGAUAUAAUUUAACAUAUUUGAUAAUAAUAUUGUAUGCAUUGAUAAAAAAUAUAAAUUUUAUAAGUGCACAUUCAUUAUUAAAUUACAUCAAAUAUUAUUAGAUAAUAAGAUUAUUAUAUUUGAUUAUAAUAUGUCUAAUUUUAAAAUAUAUUUAAUAUUAAAAUUAUGAUACAUUUAAUUCAAUUAUAUAAAAAAUAUGUACAAUUUUUUAAUAUUUAAUUAAUAUAUUAAUAAUAUUAAAAACACUAUGAAAAAAAUUAUCAUGAUAAUAUUUAUAUUUUUAGUAAUUAAUUAAAUAAAAAAUUUUCAUCUAAUUAUAAAAAAUUAUAAUUAAUUUGUUCUUUAAAAUAUUCUUUUAAUAUAUAUAUAUAUAUAUAUAUAUAUAUAUAUAUAUAUAUAUAUAUAUCAAGGUGAACUUGCCCAUUGGUGGGUAAGGUUUAUUCUUAAACUUUUGUUUGGGUUCGAGUCCCCUUAUAGGUAGAAAAUUAAGGGAUUUUUGUGACCCACAUUGGAGCUCACAAUUUGAGAUAUUUUCCCCACUUCAUCGAUUAAUAUGCAAAUGCCAAAUUUUAUGGAAAUUUUCAUCCAUGAACACAAGAAAAAGUUCUACACUAAAAUCGAGGUUAGGGAUCACGUGUAGAGAAGCAUUGCAUCCGGAAGGAAUUGCUCUUCUUUAUAUAGAUAUUAUUUGCUCUAAAUGUAACGUGUGUCUACAUGAUAUAGAGAAACUAUACACUACUUUUUCCCCUUUAAGAAUGGUAUCACACCAUUAAUAAUUCAUUAAGUAAAAAAUUCAAAUUUUUUGCAUCCUCUCUUGCUUUCAACACAGUGAUUUAGCACAUCUAAGCAAUUUCUUCCAUGAGCACAUUUUUGGAAAUUGAGAGUGAUUUUUUUCAGAGGGUGUUUCUGAUUUCAAAUAGUAAAACAAAAUGCACUUCUAAUUUCAAUUUUCAAAUAAUGAAGGAAAGUAAUUACUUCACUACAAACCAGAUUCCGACUUGCUUGCCUAGUAAAUAGACACUGGCACAACUACAUAGAAAAAGGGUUUUCUCAGCAACCAAACGGAGCUCAACUCAACACCCAAACUCAUUCAGAAUUCCACAAACUUACAAUAACAAUAACCUCAAACUCAUUAGUAUUCAUAUAGGCCAACAAGCAAGGAUCAAACCGUAACAAAUUUGUAUGUAAUUGAGAUUAAAAAUUGAGAAUAAUCUAGGCCAAAGAAAACAUACCCACUUUUCUCUAAGUCUUGGAAUGUGAUGCGAGGGAGCGAGACACACAGAUGUGACAUGGGCGGUCAAAGAGUGCAAGCAGAAAUAGCCAGUGAAGUCUACGUGAGUGAAGUCUUCCCUACCUCAUUUAUUUAUUUUUUUGGUGUGGCAUUUAUUUUUUUUGGUGUGGCAUUAAUUUAGUGAGACCGACAAUGGUUUAAAAUUGCAUAUUCAGUCUCUGUCAUCACUUUAAUCAGGGCGCGUGUGGAGUUCUGUGAAGAAGUAAUGGCCUCUCUCUGGCGUUUAGGUUUGUCCCAAGCAAGCUCCAGGUGGCCCCAGAUGUUUCUCCGGGAUUGACGUAUUAAAUCCAGUUGACCUUAUUAAAUCCAGGUGGCCCCAGAUGUUUCUCCGGGAUUUGAAAUAAUUGAACUCAAAGUGGGAAUCUAUCGAUGUGUCAAAAAAUAAAAAUAAAAUAAUUUUAUUUUUCUUUUUAAUUUAAGUUGUAAUAGUAAAGCUAAACAUUAUGUGUCAAAAAAACACAAAUAAUGUUAUCAUUAUAGGAAGGACAAUGGAUUAGGUUUUUCUAUAUGUCAAUUUUUGUCCCUACAAUGGGAAGAGUUUGAGAUAAAAAUAAAUGGGUUCAAAGUGGGUUUGAGGAGUUUUUAAAACCCGAAAUGGGUUUGGGACAUGUUUAUAUAUAAUUUUAUGUCAGUUCAAUUUGUCUUGAUUGUUUAUAAUUUUAAAUAAAAAAUUAUUUUAAUUCAUUUUUUUUUAUUUUUAAAUUUUUUUAACAUAAAUAAUAUAUUAAUUUUCAUAAAAAUAAAUUAUAAAUAUUUAUAAUAUUAUUUAUUUAUAAAUUAUAUUUACUUUUAAUAAAAAUUUGAAUUUUAAAAAAAUAAAAUAAUGAAAUUUUUUUAAAAAUUAUACAAGAUGGAGCAUAUAUGAAAAUUUGUUAUAUUUCUUCUGUUAUAUUUAUUUGAUGCGGAUGAAAAUAAAUAUAAAUAAUAGUUGACAGAUAUGGAAAUUUAAUUUUUUGUUCAUUUAUUUAUUUAACGUUAAUAAAAAUAAACAUAAAUAAAUGAGAAAGGGAUAGGGUGAAAGUGACCCCAAUCUACCUCAUUUAUCAUCCUAAUAAGUAACUCUAUCCAAUAAUAUCCCAUCAAUGAAAUGAAAGCUUAUCCUCAAUUCCCGUCAUGUACUAAACCUAUCCUCUCCUCCAAGCUUAUCCUCCAUUCCCAUGUAAGGAAUCUCAACGUCCACAUGGUUUUUUUGAGGGUUUUAUGUUUUCUUUUGAAUAGAUAUCAGAUGCAUACAUAAUAAGAAAUGCUUAUUUUAUGCUAACGGCAUCAAUUAUGAAUCAAAUGCAAUAUUUUUCUUCUGUCAAUGAAGCUCCACUAAGCCAUUCCAUUAGACCUUCAUAUUUUUUGGGAUUUUAGCUACUGCUUUAGUAUUGUUCAUUCCAAUUAAUUCAGCUUAUACCAGAAGACGAAUAUGUUGAGUUGGAGGAAUAGAAUUUUGGAAUUCAUGGCAAAGGAUGUUGUAUCAUGGGUGAUACAGAAGCGUUCUCUUCUGCUCAUUCAAGAGCCUGCAGCUUUGGUUGUAGUUGAAGAACAGCUCCAGUUCAUUGAAAAGGAGUCGAAGAGUACUAGGAUCCAUGAUCAAUAUAGCCUAUGAUGUGGAUCGAGGAUGUCAUGGAUGACCUUAUGCUCAAACAAGCAGUAUAAGAAAGGAAAAAGGGAUUUCUGAGAAGGUUUGUUCUAUCGCAAACCCUUAAUUUUAUCCUUUUGGCAGGUGUUUUUUUAAGUCUUUAUUGCAGCUUCAAAUCUCUUUUGGAGAUAUAUGUUGGAGGGAUUAGGUGGAACCUAAUCGUGAUUUUAGUUGCCUUCAAAUUUAGUUUAGGAUCUUGCUUUUCUUAAUGAAUUUCUUUUAUUUUGUUUUUUUUUCUCUGGGAUAGUUUUUUUUCAUUACUUUUUUUAAAUUUUUUUAUUUUUAAGAUUGACUUUAUUUUAGAUUAAUUCACUUAGGAAUGUUUAUUUUUUUUUUACUAAAAUGAAUUAAAUAAAAAAAUAAACAUCACUUUAAUCUUAUUUUAGAAUAAUCUGUUUAAUAUUGUUUUAGAUUAAUUCAUUUGGUAUUGCUUUUAAAUGAAUUCGAUUAGUUUUGUCUUUAAAUUAACUAAUUUUAAUUCUUUUUAUUACUAUACUCAUUUCAUGGUUUUGAGAGUUUUCAUUUGAUCUCAUUCUUCUAUUUGGGAGUGAAGGAGGAUAUCAUUAGUGGAUGGAGGGUCACGUGUCUUCAAUAGAAUUCUCAUCACCAUGCAUGGAUCCAUUUGAGGAGUACUAUCAGUAAAUACAGUACCACUGCAUGCCCGUAGAAAGCACUUCACCAUCAUAUUAAAUGAGCCUAACGUGAGGAUGAGGAGGGAGCUCACGUUCUGAUAAUGUUUUAAGGGAAAGUUGUGUUUUCAUGGGCCAAUAUGGUAAUAAUAUUGUUUUUGGAACCCAGGUUUCUGAAAUAUGAAAAACAUCUGUUAAUGUGGAAACUUAUAUCAGAUUCAUGCACUCUAAGCCGACUGUGUUUUUUCUACCGAGCUUGCCCCUCCAGGUAUCCACGUCAGCAGCCCAUCUCAGUCCGGGGGAUUUUCAGAACGCAAAUAAUUCCAAUUCCGAAGAAAACAAAUUUCCCUAUAUUCUCUGGAAAAUCAAUUCUCUGGAAACCGCAUUUCUCCUCCAAAAUCAAACCCCCUAACCGUCCCUUAAGCUGAAAACAAAUGCAGAAGCAUCCCUCCUCAGCUCCAUUGUUUCUCUCUCUUCAAUCCCAUGAUUCUAGAGAGAGAAAGAAAAGAGUUUCAGACUACAGCAAUGGCCAAAGCGUGUGACCGAUCAUCCAAGCCUCUCCACAACUUCUCCUUACCACGCUUGAAAUAGGGCAAUCAGAGAUUCCUUAGAUGCAUGAAACUCUCUCCAAAUACCUCUAAUUCUUCAUCUUCCCUCAUACCCACAUCUGUGAUUUCGUUCCAAAACGCUGAGACCAACGCCAAUGGUGGAAUCGAAGCCAUUCGCCAGAAACUCAUGCUCGAUCUCAGAGAGGCCGCCGACAAGAUGAGACACUCCAUUUUGGAGGAGGAUUCAGAGAGGCCUUGGAAUCUCAGGACUCGGAAAGCGGCUUGUAAGGUCCCUUGUGAGGCGGCUGUAGUGGAGAAAAAGAAGAAAAGAGGGAGACCGAAGUUUUCGGUGUCCCUGUCGAGAGAGGAGGUGGUAGAAAACCAAUAAAUAUUUGCUUCGCAUGAUCACCUUCCGUAUCCAACCAAAACCAUCUUAACUUGACAUAACCAGAAAAAUGAGAAAACAACAGUAUGAUUAAAUAACUACUGAGAGUGAAAAAUUGUCGAGAGAGCAAAAUUUAUCGAAUAUGGUUUAAGGUAGUGUCAUGCUGCAAUAGGUAAUGAAAUUAACUAAUGAAAAUCUGAAGUCACAAAAUGGCUACAUUUCUCGCAGGUGCGUUAAGGUAGUACCUGAGGUACAUUAAGGUAGUACCUGAAGACCAUUAAGGUAGUACCUUAUGUGCAUUAAGGUAGUACCUGAUGUGCAUUAAGGUAGUACCUGAAAUUUCUUAUGAUUACAUAAGGUACCGUUGGAGUAACCUAUGAGAAUAUAACAAUGUCAUGCUGCAAUAGGUAAUGAAAUUAACUAAUAAAAAUCUGAAGCCAUAGAAUGGCUACAUUUCUCGCAGGUGCGUUAAGGUAGUACCUGAGGUACAUUAAGGUAGUACCUGAAGACCAUUAAGGUAGUACCUUAUGUGCAUUAAGGUAGUACCUGAAAUUUCUUAUGAUUACAUCAGGUCGAUGGAGUCACCUAUGACAACAUAACAACGUCAUGCUACAAUAGGUAAUGAAAUGAACUAAUAAAAAUUUGAAGUCAUAGAAUAGCUACAUUUCUCGCACGUGCGUUAAGGUAGUACCUGAGGUACAUUAAUGUAGUACUUGAAGACCAUUACGGUAGUACCUUAAGUGCAUUAAGGUAGUACCUGAAAUUUCUUAUGAUUACAUAAGCUACCGAUGGAGUUGCCUAUGACAACAUAACAACGUCAUACUACAAUAGGUAAUGAAAUGAACUAAUUGUGUCUAAAGUCAUAGAAGAGCUACAUUUCUCGCAGGUGCAUUAAGGUAGUACCGGAUGUACAUUAAUGUAGUACCUCAGGACCAUUAAGGUAGUACCUGAGGUGCAUUAAGGUAGUACAUGAAAUUUGUUAUAAUUACAUACGCCACCGAUGGAGUAACCUAUGAGAACAUAACAAUGUCAUGUUGCAAUGUGUAAUGAAAUGAACUAAUUGUGUCUUAAGUCACACAACAACAACAUUUCUCAAAUAUGCACUAAGAUAGUACCUGAUGUACAUUAAUGUAGUACCUCAAGACCAUUAAGGUAGUACAUGUUUUGCAUUAAGGUAGUACCUGAUGCGAUGAAACAAUUCUGUCUUCGUUGACAAAAGAUGUACACUACAAAUUCCAACAAACAUUACAAAUUCAUAAACACUACCAACAAUUUCUACUAACCAACACAUAAUUUAUGCAUUUUUAUUUUUAUUAUUAUUAUUAUUUUUAUUUUUAUUCUCAACAUAUAUGAUUGAAUUAUCAAGUUUUUCGCCAAUAUAUGAUAUUGCCUAAUUAUAUUCAUCAAUUAUUACCAUCAGUCUAAAAAUCUGAAUAAAUACACAAGUUUUCCACCCAAUUUCUAAAUAUGUCCACAACAUUUUUCCAUUUCAUGAGUCUCCAAUACACAAAAAUAUUGAGAUCAAACAGCCGCUCAUGCGAUCCAAAAUCCAACAAGGCCUCUCUGAAUCGUCCUCCAAAAUGGAGUGUCUCAUCUUGUCGGCGGCCUCUCUGAGAUCAAGCAUGAGUUUAUGGCGAAUGGCUUCGAUUCCACCAUUGGCGUCGGUCUCGGCGUUUUGGAACGAAAUCACAGAUGUGGGUAUGAGGAAAGAUGAAGAAUUAGAGGUAUUUGGAGAGAGUUUCAUGCAUCUAAGGAAUCUCUGAUUGCCCCAUUUUAAGCGUGGUAAGGAGAAGUUGUGGAGAGGCUUGGAUGAUCGGUCACGCGUUUUGGCCAUUGCUGUAGUCUGAAACUCUUUUCUUUCUCUCUCUAGAAUCAUGGGAUUGAAAAGAGAGAAACAAUGGAGCUAAGGAGGGAUGCUUCUGCGUUUGUUUUCAGCUUAAGGGACGGUUGGGGGGUUUGAUUUUGGAGGAGAAAUGCGGUUUCCAGAGAAUUGAUUUUCCAGAGAAUAUAGGGAAAUUUGUUUUCUUCGGAAUUGGAAUUAUUUGGGUUCUGAAAAUCCCCCGGACUGAGAUGGGCUGCUGACGUGGAUACCUGGAGGGGCAAGCUCGGUAGAAAAAACACAGCCGGCUUAGAGUGCAUGAAUCUGAUAUAAGUUUCCACAUUAAUAGAUGUUUUUCAUAUUUCAGAAACCUGGGUUCCCAAAACAAUAUUAUUACCAUAUUGGCCCAUGAAAACACAACUUUCCCAUGUUUUAAACAUCGGAUUGGACCGGUUCAACCACGAUUCAACCACGGGUCCGAUCAAUAAACCAUGAACUGGUAACUUUUCUGUUUUAAUGACCUGUCUGAUUCUGAAAAUAUUAGAAACUCUAAAAAAUAUUGGUUUCUAAAUGUUCUAGAAGACUUUUGCCACGGGGUGAAUGGGUCAAAACCGUACUACCACACGGGACUGGGAGAAGACUCUGGAAGAAGCAUCUAUCUUUUUGUUGGCAGCUGGCAUAUGGUAGCAUGAGGAUUGCGUGUCUAAUGGAUUCCAGAAGCUUCAAUGGAGGGGGAGGACACGCCGACCGGGAAGAAGAAUCCUCUCCGUCUUGCAGUGGGUUUUUCGGAGAGAGAGGAAGAACAGAUCAUCAUGGCAUUGCAUCAACACGGCAUGACCUAGCGUUUUAUGCUAGCUUCAGUUUUCGGCAUUAACACCAUGUCCAUCUCUGGAAGGAGAACACACCACCGCCAUUGAAGAUCUGCACCAGCACACCAGUUCGAUCAUUUGGACACUGCACCCACAUCUUCAUCUCGCCAUUUUUUAGAUUUCUGUCAGCAUAACACGCAGGCACCACCACCUGGCUAUCAUCUGCGCACCAUCAGCGCAUUAUCUAUCUCCGCCAUUCUGCAUCCUCUGAACACACGACAUCUUGACAUCUUCAUUUGCUGCGCAUCAGAGCAUCGCUACCAUAAUGCAUCUCGUUCCGGGAGGUUCCAUCAGUUGUGUUCCAGAUUCAGUAUCACGUCAAUUCAUCACCACUUCUCUCAGUUUCCUUCACCUUUCUCGCUCUCCAAACAGUGGAACAGACACACCACCACCACGUGCUAGCCAGAAUCAUCAGGGAUUUUGAAUGCGCAUCUUCAGCAGAGGAGAAGAAUCAUCAAGGCAUUCUGGAAAAGACCACCAAUCGGAUCCCUCAUCUGCGAACAGCGCACUAACAUCAGCUUCACACAUGCAUCGCGUUGUCUGCACACCACACCAGUCCCGUCUACCACAGCAUCUGCAUAUCCAUAGCCACGUACGCAUCAACAAUAAACCUCCAAUACAUCAUCCAUGUCUCCUACAUCUUCAUCUGAGUACACACAAUCAGCAUCCAUCAUGAAGGAAAAUCAGCAUGCACUACUAAGGAUCAUUAGCACGCAAACUGCCAUCAGCUCCAUUGAAGAAAUACACGCGGCCAUGUCAGAUUUGCAGGAGGAUUGAGUUCACCCACUGUUGCACUAUGACACCCGUCAAUGAUACAUGCACUCAUCAUCAGAAUUUUAAUCACCAUUAGAACAAGAUAUAAAGGUGAGUUUUGAUAUCCUUAUUUCCAUUUGAAUAAAAAAAAUCAAUAACCUAGGUAUACAUACUGAUCAUGGAAGGAUGUUAGUGAAAUGCUUUGUUUGAUUUAAAAAGAAUAAACUGAUGUCAGGAUGGAUGGUGGUCGGCCAUCGAAAUUCUUUGGUAAUGGCUUUUGUUGAACUUUCAAAAUCAAUUGAAUGUGGAAUAAUGUGGUCGGCUACGAGGGAUGUCAAUUGCUGGUGUUUGUUUGAGAUUUAAAAAUACAAUGAAUGCAUGACAGGCAUGGAAGAGUGUCAAUGCUUUGUUUUAAUUUUUAAUUUUUGUUAUCAGUGGAAUGAGAAUGGGUGUCAGCCGGAGAUUAGUUAAUGGUAUAUAUGUGAUUCAGACUUACAAGAGAAAAAAUAAAAUAAAAAUAAAAACAUUUUCUAAAAUUACUACCAAAUAAACUUUAAAUUUCAUUCAUAAAAACAUUUUUGAACAAAAAUUAUUUCGUCCCAUAUUCAUGGCCCCAGACCGGCCGGUCGCUAAAAUUAUGUUUGUUGAACUUUAAAUAAAAAUCUAUAUAUGAACGUAGUGGAUGGUGGCAGCCAUGAAGUUGUGAUAAUUUAGUUAGCUAGUUUUGAAUUUUAAAAUUCUAUAAAAGCUACUUGGAAAUGAAGCUUAAUGUAGUUCGAUUGUUUGAAUUAGAAAAAUCAACAUGGGGAAGAAAGGUAGCUAUGCAUGUGUUGGUAUCAGCGGCUGUCUGAAUAACAUAAAACUUAAAGGGAGUGAAUGAUGGCAGCCAGUUUUUGAUAAGAAUAAUGUUAGUAUUAGUGGCAUGUUUACAUGAAAUAAUAAUAAUAAUAAUAGGGUAGUGGAGAUAUACUAUGAUAUUUGGUGAUUGUUUUAGAUUAAGCAUGGGAAUGUAGGAAAUUAUACUUAGAACAUUUUUGGAUCUUAAUUUGGAUUCUAAAUUAAGUUACAAUGGUUAGUUUGUUAGAAUUCACAUUCACACACUUACACUUUUUCUCGAUGGUUUGUGUUUGAGAUUUUAUGUGUUUUAAUAUUUUUAAAAUUGUUUUCAACCGUGUUCAUAGUCAAAUCAAUCUUCUAACUUCUAUUUAAAAUUCAUCUUAGUCAUUUUAAUUAUGAAAUUUCAAUUUUCCAAAAGACAAUGCAACCUUAUUUUAUUCGGUUUGCAUACGUAAAAAAAGGUUUUAAAAUGAAUUUUGAUUUUGAAUGAUACAUGAAUUAAAAUUCAUAACUCCAAUCAAUAGAGUCAUUUUCGGCUUUGAUGAGCUUUGUUGUGAUCAUUUGAGGUUGAGAAUUAUGGAUGAAUUCGUGGAAAUUAAAAAGGGAUUUGGUAGAUCCCUACAUACAAAGUUUUCAAAAAAUCAGUUUUCUAUUACCACUGUUGAAUGUCCAUUGCUCCUUUGAACUUUUAAAUUGGAAUUCAAUCACUUAGAUACCCCCUAAAAUUAUUUCAAUUCUUUUAUAUUAUUAUUGACUCCUUAAAUGUGUGACAUAAAUUUUUUCUAACCUAAAACACUUCUCCAAACAAUGGAUUUAAUUUAGUAUUCCAACAGGUGUAGUUUAAGCACUAUUCUAGACACCUGAAAUGUUUCUAUAAAAAUAGAUUGCUGGAUGACUUUGAAAAAUUGGUUUAAUAUUUUUCCUUCAUUCUAGACAUCGUGAAAUUGAUUUUUGAUACAUAAAAUAUUAGAAAAUGUUUUCCCAAUUUUGAACCAAGAGGUUAUUUGGUUGUUUUUAAAAUUGAUGCAUAUAUUUUCCUACCUCACCAAUAUUUUUAUUGCAAAUUAACAUGCCGAACAUAUGGUAUGAUUUUUUUGUAUCAUUUUAUCACAUUUAUGGGGUGGCUAAAAAGUUGAUUUAUUCAUGCUAUAGAAUUCAAUCUUGUUCUAGACCUUUUAGGAUAUUUUAGUGAACCGGAAUUGAUUGAAAUUUAUUUAAUUGUUUGAUCACUUGAAUGAUAAGCUAAACAUGUAGAAUAUGUUUUAUGAAAAUUUUUGUGAUUAAAUUCAUAUUUUAGAUAUUUUUUUAGCAUUUAUUUUGUGAACCUUCGUAUUCUGAUUGUAUGUUGAAAUUCCUAUAUAUAACUUUAUUUGUUAUUUGAUUUGGUCUUAGUUGGCAUAUCUUUGUUUGAUCUUAAAUUUUGUAUUAUAAUAUAGACAUAAUGAGGGUGUUACCUAAAUUUUUCUAUGAUAAAAUAUUACUUUUAGGUAUUUAUUUAUGAUUUUCUUAAAGCAAUUGACUAUUCUGCCACUUUGUUGCAUAUUUUGACUUGGUCACUUAUUUUGGUAUUUUUGAGUCCUCUUGUGAAUUAGUUUGUCUUUGAUAAUAAUUUGUAUGUGUAUUCUAUGUGAUAGUUGAUAUUUAAUUUUUAGGUUCUUUGCCAUUUUAUUUGAGUCAUACAUAUGCCAUGUAAAUUAGGGUUUACUAUCAUAGUUAUUUGUUGUCGUGAUUUAUUCUAACCGCUAUAGCUAUAUGCAAGCACAUUGUAAGCUAUGAAUGCUAUCAAGGUAUGCCCUUUGUUUCAUUUAUUUCUUUAACUCUAUAAAUAGAUGUGUUUGUGAACAUCUUUGUGUUUGAUUAUGCUUUGAUCAUUGCUUAUUUUUCUUGCGUGAUAUGAAUUGCAUGUUGUAUUAUUUGUUAAACUAACUUUAAUGUUUACAUGAAAUUGCUUUAGGUUGCAGCUCAGGUACACAUAUAUAUCAUUUUCUUUGUGUGAUUGAUUUAUUUGGUGUGAUUGUUUCAAUAUGAAUAACAUCCUAUUAAGCUUAAGAUAGUCAUUUUUAUUAUCUUUGAUAUUUAUUGAUUUGCAUAUUAAUUGUCAUAGUUAUCUUAAUUUAUUUAGUAGACACUUGUUUUAAGGAUUAGAGGGGUAUUAUCUUAUAGUAUCUUCCCAUAGAGUAAUCUAACCUCAUAUCUGGACUUGAGUUCUGAAAGGCAUGAUUUUCCAAAAUAAAGAGUCAUUUUUUAAUGUUUUAUUUUCUCCUUUAAAAAAAAGUGAGGACUCCAAUUCUUAUAAAAAUUAGUUUUUCACUAAAAAGCGAAUCUCAUAAGUGAGUGGGAACACACGUGAAAAAUACGGUCCACAUCUAUUCAUCACUAGAUUCAUUCAUCAAUAUCAACUUCAUAGAAAGUUGGAAUGGAUGAAGGUGUACAACUUUCCAAGCUAGCUCUUUCUGCCCAUGUUCCUAUUCUUCGUGCCUCGUAUGCUAUUGAUACUGAAGAAAUAGAUUGGGAAUGCCAGAGCUCACUACAAGAUCAGAAUACGGCCAACACAGUUGUUUCCCCAAUCAUUGAAAAAGUUAUAGCUUUGCUAGCUCAGAAGUCUCUUUAUCCCCAAAUGAAAAGGAAGGCUAGGAGGUUACAAGGCAAAUUUAGGCUGAUUAGUAGUUUUCUAAGAGAACUAGAAUCAGAAGAGUUAGAUAGUAGAGGAAUGGCUUGGAUGGAGGAACUCUGUGACCUUUUUCCCAUUCUGCGGUAGAUGUAAUUGGGUUAUUCAUCAACCGAUUAGAACAUCUCAGUAGCAGUUGGAGGGGACCUUUUGGGAGAGUUGUUUUGGCCUAUUACAAUUUUAAAUGUCAGCAUAAGCUUGCCAUGGAGAUGGAUGAAAUUCACUCUAAGAUCUUGGAGAUCUCUGUGGGGAGACAAAAAAAUGCUCGCACUAGAUGUAUUCGAAUCAGAAAGCCAACAUCUACAUUCUUCAGAAUCCUGUCAGCUUUUAUGAUGAUGUGCAUGCCCUAAUGACAUGGUUGCUCACAGAGGAUAAAAGUUUCUGUGUGAUUUCAAUAGUAGGCAUCAAAGGCAUUGGUAAGACAACCUUAGCCAAGUUGGUCUAUAACAAUGACAUUGGGGAUCGUUGCCCUUAUUCGUGCCUAGACCUCUGCAACUUGUAAAUUUCAAAUUCCUGAGGACGUGAUGAAAGCAUUUAUGUACUACGACACUAACAAGCCAGUAAGUUGGUGGGAUGAGAUGACACAAAUGGUCAAAGCUUUCCUGAGUGAUAAGAGGUUUCUCAUAGUUCUAGAUGAUGCCCACUGUGUCUCUUGUUUUAAUGAAAUCAUAGCAGCAUUCCAAGACACAAUGAGUGGGAGGACAAUGAUUCUAACCACAUGUGAAAUGAGUUUGCUUUCAAAUCUCAAAUUGAGGAGUAUUCAUCAUGCAUGGCGAUUACGAGGAGAUGAUGAGAGUUGGGUAUUAUUUACUUAUGCCAUGAAGGUAAACAUACUAUUAGAACUACUAAAUCUGAGAAGUGAAAUUGUGAGAAAAUGUGGGGGGUUGCCAAUGGCAAUGGUAAAAUUGGCAGAUGUUUUGUCACAGAAGGAUGCAGCCAUUACGGAAUGGUCCAGUGUGCUCCAGCAGUUUAAUGGAGACCAUGACCUAUGGUCUAAUACCUUGAACAAGAUCAACGAGGAUUUGCCCUUGUAGAUGAAGCAAUGUCUGUUUUAUUGCAGGCUAUUUCCUCAAGAUUUUGCGAUUCCAGCAAGAAGAUUAUGUUGUGGCUUGCAGAGGGUUUGGUGCAACCAGGGGGAAAGAAUGAAUCUCCGGAAGAUAUUGCAGAGAGGUGCUUGAUAAAGUUGAUAGCUCAGGGCAUGGUUCAAAUGAUAAACAAGAAGCCUAAUGGGAAUGUUAAUUCAUGUCGCCUUCCUGAUGCCCUACGACAGCACUGGUUAUCAAAAGCCCAACAAGCUACAUUUCUUCAAGUUCAGGCUAACACAAGAUCUGAGUUGUCCCAAAGCACUGGUCUAAUCCACCACCUUGCUGAUCACUUAGAUAAAGAAGAUGUCAGCUUUGAUCAUAUCCACGGUGGCUACAACAUUGCUUCCACAUCAUUGAUGCCUCAGUACUGCCUUACUGAUCACUUGGAUAAAGAAGGAAGAAAACCAGGAGAAGACAUAGGAAACUUUCUUCAUAGAUGCAUUUCUAGCAGUUUCCUCCUAUUACUAAGGGUUCUUGAUCUUGAAAAUGUAUUCAGGCCUAAGUUGCCCAGGGAACUUGGUAAAAUAACUCGACUGAGGUACCUUGGCUUGAGAUGGACUUUCCUGGAGAUGAUUCCCUCAUCUCUAAGCAAGCUGCAAAACCUCCAAACAUUGGAUUUGAAGCAUACUAGCAUCGGUACUCUUCCUAACUCAAUAUGGAAGAUGCAACAGUUGAGACAUUUAUUCUUGAGUGAGAGUUUUCCAAGUAAAUUCAUGUCUCAACCACAAGCAAGCUUUCCAACAGCUCUCCAGACCUUUUGGGGACUACUUAUAGAUGCGGAGACUCCAGUGAAGGAUGGCUUAGACAAAUUGAUCAAUCUUAGAAAAUUGGAAUUAGCAUGUCGGUUAAUUCCAUCUCAACAGGGGACAAUGUUGUUACAAUUGGAAACAGUGGCUGAUUGGAUUUUGAAGCUGAACCGUCUUGAAUCUCUGAGACUGAAAUCAGUUGAUACUAAUAAUCAACCUUGGGAUCUAGUCCUAAAGCCUUUGUCUGGUCAUGAGGAUCAUUCUAGUCUUUAUUUGUUGUCAUGGUUAAACAAUCCAUCAAUAUUCUUAUCUGAAUUCCCAGAGUCUCAUUGACCAUACUCUUAUCAAGUUCAGAACUAAAUGAAGACCCUAUCCAAAAAUUGGACAAGCUCCCAACCUGAAAUUUCUUAAGUUAUUGACCAAAUCUUAUAUAGGAAAGAACAUGCUUUCCACUUCAGGAGGCUUUCCUAAAUUUCAAAUUCUUAAACUAUGGAAGCUAGAGCAACUGGAGGAGUGGAACGUGGAAGAAGGUGUACAACAAGCUCUCUAUGAUUUGGAGAUUAGGUCCUGUGCAAGGUUGAAGAUGCUUCCGAAAGGAUUGCAACAAAGAACUCUCUGGAAUUUGAAGUCAAUAGAUAUGCCCAAGGAGUUCACUACUUUAAGUUCAUAGUAAUAUUCACUUGUUAGGCUUUGAGAAAUUUUUUUUCCCGGUUCAGAGUCAAGAGGGUUGAGAAGCGUCAUACUCUUCAUUGUUGUCAAGUUCUCCUUUGCUUAGUAUUUCAAUUAAUCACUACUCUGAUUGCUUAACAGAAAUGAUACGAGUUAACUAGACAUAGCUUCUGGGGUGUGGGUUCAGCUAAUAAAUAUAAAACUUACCCUUUUUUGAGGUGAAAUUUGUUUUGAACUUACAAUAAUAUAAUUUCAAGAUUGUGGUUCUCGCAAUAAGCUUUGAGUUUGAGAUCAAUUAUUCAAUCUGAUCAUCUGUGAAGUCUAUUGUUGAACAAUCAUACUAAGCUUAAACGAAUAAGAUCAAGAAGGCUAUAAACACAGAAAUUGUGAAAGCUUCCCACCAAGUUUUCACCAAGAUGUAUUCUGGAAGAAGAAUGAACCAGAUCUGCAAAGAAGUGCCCGAAAGCAUAAAAAAUGUAGUAAGCCUCAUGCAGAAUGGCUGACUUGGGGGGUAAUGCUGCUCCCUGCAUCUGUAUUAGAAUGACCUACCGCAGUUUCCUCUAAUAUCACUGUCCCCAGCUGUGAAAUCUUACAGUCUAAUGCCAUUUGAACUAUACUUGUCUGUGAAUUUUAGAUAACUAGGCACUGGCCUGGUCAGGACAAGGUGGCAAGACUUCUCAUGUCUUUUUUAAUAAAAAGAUAAUCACACUUUUUUAAUUAUUUAUCAUGAUUUGGUGGUAAUAGAACUACUACUUAGCCCUUGUAUAUAUGAGGAUGUGAAGUAGAGGUCCUAUUUCAUGAAGAAUAAUGAGUUGGUAAGAUCAAUCAAGGUCUCAUCAUGAUGGGUUCAAAGAUGUAGCUCAUUUUGAACACAACAUUUAGAGAUUUAGAGGAUCAAGUCUCGUGGAAGGUUGAAAAUGCAUCCAUUUUCUUUACAUCUUACUUAAAACUAAAGUUUGAAAUAUCGGUAAACAUAGAUUUAUCAGUACUUGGAUUUUAUGAUUAUAUUGAAAAUAUCGGAGAAAUUUUGAUGAAUAUUUUGAUAAAAAUAUCGUUAAAGUAAAAAUUAUUUAAGAUUCAUGAAAAUAUUUGAAAAAACUAUAAAAAAAAUUAUAAAAUAAAUAAGAAUUCACAUUUUAAAGUUAUUUUGUAAAUGUAAUUGAUAUAAAUAUUAUUAAGAAGAAAAAUAUCUAUAUAUAUAAUUUAUUAUUUAUCUUAUCAAAUUAAUUUUAAUUUAUAAAAUAUUAUAACUUUAUUAUUAUUAUUAUUAUUUAUAUUUUAGUUUUUUAAAAAUAAAUUUAUAUGUUUAAUAUUUUAAAAUAAAAACAUUCUAAAUUAAAAGGAUAAAUAUAAAAAAUUUAAAAGUGAAGUGAUAAUAAUUUUUUAGAAUAUGAUUAAUGAGAUAAAUUGUGAUACAUUUAAAUACAUUUAAUAGUGUGAAAUAAAUUAUGAUAAAUAUAUGAUUUUUUUAAUAUUUAUAUUUUUUAUAUUUAACUAUCAUAUAAAUAAUAUAAAAAAGACUUAUUAAAAAAAAUUAUAAUAUUGAUUUUUAUAUUUUUAUUAAUCAAUUAAAAUGUAAUUUAAAAUAAAAUAAUUAAAAUUAGAUUUUUUUUUUAAUGAUGAAUCUUAACAAAUUUAAAUUAAAUAUAUAUUAUCAAAGAGUAUCAUAUUCCAAUGGCAGCAGGAUUGAACCCAAGGUUUUGAUUUAAUAAAAAUUAAGAUGGAUAAUUAAUAAUUAAUAAUUAUUUAUAUGGAGGAAAAUUGUUUUCAUGAUUUGUUUCUUUUUUUCUUUUUCUUUUUUAUCUCUACUAAAUCUAAAACUCAGACGGGCCACCCACUUCUCUCAAGGCAUCAAGAUGCCCUUGUCUGAAGUUGCCCUCCAGACGAGAGAAUCCCUAAAAAGGCCCUAUUUUCCUCUGCCACUCUCAAUCCCCGCAGGUAGUAAUCUAAUCAUGGGUUUUAUUUUUUUAUUUUAUCCUUUUCAACCCCAUUCGAUUCCCAAGAAAACCCAUCCCCCAUUUGAUUUCCGGGAAAAUUCAUCCUCGUUUGAUUUCCGAGAAAAUCCAUGCUAAAUCCCCAAGGAAAACCAAAAAAUUGCUUUUUUCUUUUUUUUUGCUCCCUGUGUUUUCUGGAUCUGUUCUAGGGGUCUCUUUGCUUUUAUGCCACUGGAUUUAAAUUUCACGAACCCUAAAUCCACGAUUUUUGAGCUAGGCUGAAGAACACAACCUUGCCAUGCAAAUCAUGAUCAGAUUACCAAAUAGCAUCUUAUUUGUUUUUUUUUAAAAAAAGAAUUGGACAGAUUUUGUAUCCUGUGCGUGGCCUGGACUGGUAAGGAAAUAUCGGGAAAUUUCCCUACAAAAUGGGUAAAAAUACCGAUAAAUACCGAAAUUUCCGUCGACCAAUAAUCGGUGACGAAUAUGAUGCCGGAGCCGGCCGAUAAGAGAAAUUUCGGAGAUGUCAAACACUGCUUAGAACAACACCUGGGACACCAUUGUUCUGUUUAAGCUUUUAUUGGAGGAGAAUGAAGCAAUGGAUGUGAGUAGGUCUUUCAAUGUUCUGUUCUACUUCUUCAUUGAGAUAAUGAAGAGAGGUCUAAAAAUUUUGGCAAAAAAAAAAAAUUAUGAAAGUGAAUAUAAUUUAUAAAUUUGAAGUAGUCUUAGAGCUGUUUAGAUGAUUUGUGUUGAUCAAACUUAUCGACUAGGGCAUUGGCCUUUCUCCUAAUUUUCAUCAGUGUACCUAAUCGAGAUCCACCUCAGUCAUUGCAUGGCCUUGCAAAAUCUUGAAACGUUCAGCUAUUCCAAAAUGGGGCAUUAGAAGCCAAACAUGAGUCAGCAGCUCUCUGCCUUGCCUCACCUCCUUGCCAUGGUGAUUCCAUUAAGCCAUUUUUUGAGCACUCACAGAACUUGAUUAAGUGUGGGAACUGUAUUUUGGCCUUUAUUCUCCCCUGCUGCAGGCUAAACUUCAUGGCUCUGAGACCAAAGAAUUUUGUUGUGUAUGAAAAAAGAUGGAGUGGGGAUUAAUAAAAAAGACAGUGAUAAAGCUUUGAGUUUGGGAUCAACUAAUAAAUCUGAGACAACCUCAGAAUCCAUAGAGCAUUUUUCAAACCUCGUGGAUUUCUGUUGCUUGAUGAUUUCUUCUAAACUGGCUCGUGUAUGCUAUAAGCAUAAGCCCUACUGCUAUGUCAUUAAUUCUGUAAAUGAACUACUAUAGAUCAUGAAACAAAUCCUGACCCUCUUCUUAAUUGCUUUUCUAGGUAGCAACUUUAGUGAAUUGUUUGUUUGUUUGUUUUGGCCAUACCAUACAUUUGUUCACUGGUAUGCUACAAAUCUUUAAAAACACGUCUCUAUCAGUAUUGCUUCCAGAUUCCACAUGUGACUGGGAUUAAGGGAAAUGUCAAGGAAGCUAUCCCUUUCUCUCCAGCUACAAGAUAAAUUUUACAGUUCCAGUUAUUUUCUCUAGGUACAACCUAUAAUUUUCAGUUCCAAACCCGAAGAUUUGAGUCUUGUAGAAGCCUCUUUCUCCUCAGCAUUUUAGGAAAAAGAGGAGGCAGAAUGGAGGAUCCAUGGCCAAGGUCAUUCUCUCAUGGGUGGCACAGAAGCUCUCUGUUCUGGUCAUUCAAGAAUCAGGCCUUUUGAAUGGACUUGAAGAAAAGGUCAAUUCCAUCUACUUGGAACUGGAUUCUUUAUUGAGAGAACCGUCAGAAUUAGAGGAGUUCAGGGGCAUUGCCUAUGAUAUAGAGGAUGUAAUUGAUGACCCGACACUGAAAUCAUCAGCAACAAGAAGGAGAAGUAGAGUUCACAAGAAGCUGGAGCAGAUCAAGGCUAAGAUCUAUGAUGUAAGUAGAGGGCCAGCUUCUUACGCUUUCAUACCAGCUCAACCAGUAGAGGAACAGAACAUAGCCAUCACAGUGGUUUCCCCAGUUAUAGAUAAACUUACAGCUCUUUUAGCUCAGUUGUCUUUCGUCCUCAAGUGAGAAGGAAGGCCAGAAGGUUACAGGAUGAAUUUAAGUUAAUGAAGAAUCAGAAAAUUUAGAUGAAAGUGGAAUGAUAUGGAUGGAGGAACUCUGCAACAUUUCUAUUUAUGCAGCAUAUGUAAUUGGGUUCUACACCAACAGAAGGAAACAGUUUAAAUGGAAGGGAACUAUAAGGACAGUCAUCACAGCCUUUGACAAAUUGUGGUCUCAGCUUCGUCUAGGCAUGGAGUUGGAUGCAAUCAAUGCUAGGAUCCAGGACAUUUCUGAGAGCUUGUGGACAAAUUCAUAAGAAAAAUCCAUACUAAUUGAAUACACAUCAGUAACUUGGAAGAAAGCCUAAGAGGUGCAUAUAUAUUGUACAUAUGCCAAUUAUUUCCUUUAUUUUCUUCCUUAAGUAUAACUACUUUUAUGCAAAUGGAUGAAAAAAUGUUUAGGAUUCCACACACAAUAUAACACAGUAAGGAAGAGGUGCAUAUAUAUAUUCUACAUAUGUGCCUUAAAUAAAACAAAGCACAAAUGGGACUAACAAUUCUGGUGAAAGACUCCACCUUCAAAAUGAAACUUAAAGAAAAUGCAACAAUGGUGGAACUCUCACCACCUGAAUUGAAACUCCUUUGCAUGAAAGGAUUGAAAACCAUUUUUGAGAAAAAAGGAAUUUCCAUGGAAAUGGAGAAAAUCCACCCAACCUCUUUGUCAUCAGCAUUCCUAAUUCACAACCAGCCUAAUCCUGGCAUACAUGUUCAGUAAUACCAAAAUGAGCCAUGAGAAGCCAGACAUGAGUGAGCAGCUCUCCACCUUGCGUUAGCUCCUUGGCAUGUUUAUUCCGUGGACAGUGACAUGCAGCAUAACAUAGCAUCUCUACCCACACAUGACUCAUCAUCUCCCAUUUCUUUUCGUUGUUCCAUUUUUCUGACUCCAGAGAUUGCAAAGACUUGGCCAGCCUACAGGCAUCGAGUAACACUGACUUGCUUCCAUCUCCUUUCGCUUUCAAUGGUGGAAUUUCAGUGUUCACUUGAAGAAGUAACCUUUCACAAGCUUGGAUUCUAUCUUUUACACACUUAAAAAUCUCCGUGGCCUUAGCACAGCUGUCUUGAAAUCGGAUUUGUCCAAUUCCAUCAGGCAACAUAACAGGGUGCUUGACCAGAAGAUACACCAUAUAAUCUGAUAGCAGCUUGCUUGCUUCACGGUUUGAGUUCUUGGCAGGGCUUGAUUUUUUGUUUAGAUCAGUAUCGUAGCAGAGAUCAGUUGCUAGGUGCCAGACGAGAAUGCACUUAUCGAAUUCUCCCUCAAUGCUCCAAUGUAAUGUAGAGAAACAUUUCAUCUCUUCUAGUGUCCGUUUUCCUCUGUCAGCACAUAAUUCCUUGGCUUCCUUAAUGCCUGGGGUAUGCUUUGAUUUCUUCUGAAGCUGUUCAAAGAUCAAAAUUUUCAAAUAUUUGGGGACAUCUGAAUUCUUAGAAGAACAUUCAUCCAACAUCCGAGGAAUGCAAAAGAACUUCCAGACCUCACUGAACUUGAUAGGCAAAUUUUUGAGGCUGUAACUUAUUAGAUUGUACCGUGCCAUGGAAUCAGACCAUCUCUUGUUUGCAGGGAAGAGAUAAGGUAGUCGGCAACUCGAUAUGGCUUUGCAGAUCCGAGUCACUCGUGUUUUUCCUUGCUUGUUCAACCAAUUCAUGGUCCAGUCAGAGGAACACAGUAGAAUAAUAGAAUAAAUCUCCUGAACAAUUGCUCCAACCAGCAACAACCAUGUUAUAAUCACGUCAGUAGUUGAGUACUCAUGCUUGUCAAUUAUCAUGAAGCCGAUGAAUGUUGAGAUUUCUGAAAAUAGACAGAUGAAACGGCGUACCAAACCCCAUUCAUCAUAAACCUUCAUUGGCUUGGUAUAGAAGAUGUCAUAAAUGAACCCAAGCUCAAUCUCAAUCGCUUCGAAAGCUUGUUUCCAAGAUAUAUUAUUGAAGAAGGACUUGCUUUGUUCAAGAUCUGUCGGCUCAAGGACGACAUCUGUAAAUAAACGCUUGAACUUGGGGAAGAAUUCAAAAGCCUUUUGCAAAGGGGCUGCAACUAGGAUACUUUCAUUUCUGGGGUCUGGCGAAGGUAUAUUCACCACCUCAGGAUUUUCACUUUCUGGCUGGCAUGAAACACAAUAUCCCUCAGCUUUCUUGCAAUCACACUCUGUCAUGAAUGCGGCAUAACUGACCCCAUCAUACUCUGCCAUGAAUGCGGCACAACAAAGCCCAUUACACCCUGCCAUGAAUGUGGCACAAGCACAGCCCCUAGUCGGGUACGGGUACGGGUACGUGCACGUGCACGUGUACGGGACCGGGACCGGGACCGGGACCGGGUCCGGGUACGGGUACGGGUACAGGUCCGGGUACGGGUACAAGUCCGGGUUUCUAAAAUGAUCGUAGCUUCCGGACCUUAGAAACCAAGUUUUCUCCCCGUACUUGAUCUGUCCUGUCACAAACAUUGGCAUGGUUAUAAUAUUGAGUGGUGUGCUCUUCCAGGACCUUAAAAAGAUGCUCGAUGCUCACAGAGACUUCAGGAAUAGCUGAAUCAAGUGUCUUCUCCAUAAUUCAUUGUCUUCCAAAGAAUAGGCUGUGAUGGUGUCCGGGCCUCCAAGGUGCAGUAGCAGAAAUGCUAGCCAAAAUGCCUUUAUCAUGUCGUUUUGUUGUGAUGAGUUAUCUUCACUAGCUCCUUG
rnacentral:lncRNA from 1 species